rnacentral:lncRNA from 1 species
CGCACAUGACAUGUUAAAAAUCAUCAUUCCCACAUAUUUUAGUCAUCUUCACACUUGAGCACAUACUUAAUCAUAGUCACCACUUACUAGUUCACAUUUAACCAAUUAAAACGAUGUUUUGAAUGUAGUAACAUGCCUUAGAGAAUUUGCUCAAUUCCUUACAAGAUACUCUCUAUUUUCACACACAUUUGCUGACUACACACCCUACACUAGUUAUAUGUGAGAGGAUUGAGGUAAACAUGUAGACGAACACUCACAUAUAUGUAUAACAGAGAAAGCAUUUUCUGGAGUUAUUAAACAUGCUUAGAUAUGAUCUCAUGAAUGAAAUGCUACUACUUAGACUCGAGAACCAGUGACCCCAUAUGCUCAUACCAAUAUUCAAACUCCACAAAUUGAAACACACAACACUCAAGAUUGAAGUCAAGGGUUGUAAUGGGGCUUGGGUAUUGGCUAACAAAGAAAGGUAAAGGAAAACAAAAGUUCUUAAAGACAUAGUAAGCAAAGUAAUGAAAUUGACACUUAGAAUUCACUUUUGAAUGCAAAAAUCAACUUUUAAACACAAGGGAAGAUUCAUGCAACAUGUGAGCUCUUUUUCACAUAUUUUUCAACUCUUCUUCAUUCUUUUCACAACUUUUCUUUUUUCUUUCUAUUUUCCACGAAUUUGUAUUUUCUUUUUCUUUUCUACCCGUGCCUCUCUUAAGACUUUGGCACACACACACAAAAAUCCCUUCUUCCCCCACACUUGUUUUUCUGCAAAAUGUUGAUAAAAAAGAAUUCCCUCUAAGUCAUGCUUCACUAUCCUUUAAGAAUAAGGGUAUGGGUAGUCCUAAUCUAGGCUAGGUAAGGAUAAUGUGGCUAAGAAAGAAAAUAGGCUAAAUAAGGCUCAAAAUAAACCUACAAAACAAAUGCAUGGGAUGAAGGCUUUUUGGCUCUGGUGGUAACUACUAAAGAACUUCAUCUUGUUAUAUGUUAUGCACUCAAUUUUUAAGCUUUGAAUGAAACGGGCAUGAGUUCUAGUAGUUGGAACUAAAGUGAUGAAACGCAUUCUAAGUAGCAACCAAGCAAAGAAUAAUGAGAUCAUGCAACGAAUUUAGAAAACAAGAAUGCACAGAUUAAUCACUCUCCAAAGAAUGUUUUAGGCUCAAGUCUCUCAGGGUUGUAGCAUUAGUUUGAGUUCCUUCCUUCAAGCAUAUUACAAAAACUGUUUUUUCUUUUGUGAUUACAUGUGAAUUCAUAAACGACAACUACAACGAAGCAUUAACCAAAGGGCAUAUGAAACUUCCACCCAUGUUUGUAACUUUCUUUAACAGUCAUGCAAUUAAAAACCAAAUCCUCAUCAUUGUGUUGGAAGGUACCCUAAGACACAACACACAAAAAUGACUCUAAAAACGACUCUUGCGUUUUUUGUUUUUGGGUUUUUCAAAACUUUUUCGAAUUUUUUCUUGAAUUUUCGUAUUUUCUUUUAAAACCACAUAAAGGCACAUCAAAACUACUAAAACACUCAAAAACAGUGAAAAACAACCUUUGAAAUGUUAGGUCGUAAAAUCCUACGAAUUUUUCAAUAAACACUCUGUUUACCCCCCCAACACUUAAACCAAACAUUGUCCUCAAUGUUUCAAACAUAGACUCACACAAAAGCAAGCAAAUAACACAACUAGCAAACAUGACAAAUAUGGCAAAGUAAAAGCAGUAAAGAGUAGGGUUUAGGAAUACAAAUCUAGUUGUGAUGCCAGAGCUUCCUAGGUCUUCUUUAUUUGCAUGGGCUGCCUCCCUAGAAGCGCUUGCUUUAACGUCUUCCAGCCGGACGAUACCUCUGUUUAAGCUGCAAUAGAGCCAACGACAUGGAGGGGUACAUUCUCCAUGACAUGCUCCUCAAAGGCCUCAUAAUAGGGCUUCAAAUGAUGCCCAUUCACCUUGAAUUCUUGUUGCGUCUUCAAACUUUGUAUUUGGACUGCACCACGAGGAAAAACAUUAGUAACAACAAAAGGACCAAUCCACUUGGAAUGCAACUUACCCGGAAACAAACGAAGGCGGGAAUUGAAGAGGAGCACUUUCUGCCCCAUAGAGAACGUCUUGCUACGAAUCAUCUUGUCAUGGAAUGCCUUCAUCUUCUCCUUGUAAAUGUGAGCAUUUUGAUAAGUUUUGUUCCUAAUUUUCUCAAGCUCAUUCAAUUGAAGCUUUGUAUGAAGACCUGCGGCAUCAAUGUUCAUAUUGAAUGUUUUGACGGCUCAAUGUGCACGAUGCUCUAACUCAACGGGAAGGUGACAUGAUUUCCCAUAGAUGAGCCGAAAUGGUGACAUCCCAAUUGGUGUUUUGUAGGCAGUACGAUAUGCCCACAAUGCAUCAUUCAAACGCAAGCUCCAAUCUUUACGAGUUGGCCCAACGGUCUUCUCCAAAAUCUACUUGAUUUCCCUAUUCGAAACCUCGGCUUGCCCACUCGUUUGAGGAUGAUAAGGUGUUAAAACCUUAUGUGUGACAUUAUACUUUUUGAGCAGCGCCUCAAUGUUUCGAUUGCAAAAAUGGGAGCCCCCAUCACUUAUAAGUACCCGCGGCAUUCCAAACCUUGCAAAUAUGUUAGUCUUAACAAAAUUUGCAUCCACUUGAGAAUCAUUAGUACGGGUGGCUUUUGCUUCCACCCAUUUCGAAACAUAAUCAACCGCAAGUAAAAUCUAAUUGAAACCAUGUGAUGAAGGAAAAUGACCCAUAAAAUCAAUUCCCCAAACAUUAAAAAUUUCGACACAAAAGAUGGGGGUCUGCGGCAUUUGAUCUUUUGAACCUAUAUUGCCCAUUCUUUGACAUCUAUCACAAGUCAUACAACACGUUCUAGCAUCUUUAAAGAUCGUAGGCCAAUAAAAACCACAUUCUAACACCUUAAGUGUUGUUCUUUGAGUGCCAAAGUGUCCCCCACAUGCAUAAGUGUUACAAAAGGUUAAAAUUGAAUUGAACUCAGAAUGAUGCACACACCUACGUAGAAUCUGAUCAAGGCAAUAUUUCCACAAAUAAGGGUCAUCCCAAACAUAAAAACGUACAUCUUUCUUCAAUUUAUCACCUUAUUGCUUGUUUAGGGUGCUUGGAACAUGUUUAGUGACCAAAUAGUUAACUAAAUUGGCAUACCAUGGCACACUUACCUCUAUGGACAACAACUGCUCAUCAGGGAAUGUUUCUGGGAUAGGCACGGUAUCUUCAUCAUGUACCAAACGACCCAAGUGGUUAGCCACCACAUUUUCACUUCCCUUCUUGUCUCGGAUUUCGAUAUCGAACUUUUGGAGAAGAAGCAUCCAGCGAAUAAGCCUUGGUUUGGCCUCCUUCUUCGUAAACAAGUACUUCAACGCUGCAUGGUUAGUGUAAAUAAUAACUUUAGUACCAAGUAAAUACGAACGAAACUUAUCUAAAGCAAACACAACAGCAAGAAGUUCUUUUUCAGUGAUAGAGUAGUUUAAUUGAGCAUCAUUCAAGGUCUGAGAUGCAUACUAGAUGACAUGUGGCUGUUUGUCCUUUCUUGGUCCUAAACCAGCGCCUAUUGCAUAAUCGAAAGCAUCACACAUAAGUGAUAGGAGCAUAUUUAUGCGACUUAAUUGGCUUGUUCUCGUGCGUUUACGUUGUGUUUCCUUAGUUAUUUUAGCAUUUAAAGUCAUUUUCGUAUGUUUGUAGGUCUUAAUAACAACGUUGGCAAGAAAAGUGCAUUUUGGAUCAAAAUUGGGCUGAAAUGGAUUGCAUGCAUGAGGAUGGACGUUUUGGGCAUAUGUGUGUGCAAGUGUGUGUGUGCAAAUGCAAGGGUAAACAAUGACAACUCAUACACAUGCAAACUCACGGCAAUGGGAAGGAAUUGUGUUUGUUUUGUGGCUGAAAUGAUAUGUGUACAAGUGUAACAACUAGGAUGAAACAUGGCAGCACACACAUGCAAAGAGGAGCUGGAAUCAUCCUUCACACAAAUGCAGCAACAACCCCUCAUCAUUACACAACAUUUCUGCCACAAAACACAUGCAAAGACACCCACAUGCAAAGUGGAAGAAAGGCACGGCAAAGGGGAAGGAAUUGUGCUUGUUUUGUGGCUGAAAUGAUGCAAAGAACAUGUGUGUGUGCAAGUGUAAUAGCUAGGAUGAUAACAUGGCAGCAAACACAUGGCAAAGAAAAGAACAUGGCAGCAAACACAUGGAGCACACGGCAUGGGCAGAAAAUGUGGGUGUUUGGUGGUUGAAAUGAUGAAGCAUGUGUGUGUAAAUGUAAAGGGGAAACAUGACAGCUCACACCCACACAAGCUGCACAUGCAAAGGAAAUGGAGUGGUCCUCUCUCAAGCCUAUAAAUACCACCUCCCAUAUUCAUCAAAGAACAGAUUGGGAUCCUUGUCUUUGCUGUGAGUUUUCCACCACCAUUCUCUCCAAAUUCAGCCAAAAAUCACCCCUAGCCACACCACCCAUCAACCCUAAACCUUUCCAUACCAUUCCCCAUCCAUUCUACACCAUAAAAACCACCCAAACCCUGUCCAAAACCUCUCUGCCGCAGCAAGGAAGAAGGAGGAACUUUGGAUGCACCUGCUGCCAAGUUGGAGUGUUUUAGGUGUUGUUUUUCUUUGAAUUUUAAUGUCUAAUUUUAUGUAUCUUUGCUUUGCAAGUAUGAGGAACUAAACCCCCCUUGGCUAGGGGGGGAUUCAAAACCAUGUUUAUGCUUGCUAUAUGAUUUGAUUACUUCCGAUUGCGUUUCAUGAAUUGUGAAUUUAAUUUACUUAUCUCUAUGAAUUAAAACUAAUUUGUGUAUGUUGGUUGAGAGUGCACGCUUAAUUGUCAUGCAUAAGUUUGUUGCUAGGAUAUAAGGGAGUUUCACCUAAUCGUUAUGAACUUAUAUUCAUAAGUAGUAAAGGUUGUUGAUCACAAUCAUGUUAAGUAAAUUCUUGGCAUAAGUUUCAUGCAAUUCAUACAAGUGCCUCGCCAAUGCUUAUGGUUUUCAUAGAACUUAAUGAUUCUUGCUUGUAUCUCUAUUAUGCAAUUCAUGUAGGGGACUUGUGAGGAAUGCUUUGGGUUGUCGUAUGCAAUUCAUCCAAUUCAAUAACUUUAGGGAAAUCUGAGGGUUAAUUAGUGCAAUUCACAGUUAAUCUGGGGUGUUGGGAAUUCAUGGUGUGUUGAAGAGCAAUUGGAAAUCAUUUUGUAUGCAAGUAUAACAUGUGUGGAGAAGAACCCCUUAGCUAGCUUCUCAUCCAUUCAAUUUAAUCAAUCUCGUUUUACAAUCUGCUAGUUCUUAAAGUUUUUGUUUAGUUUUAAAUUUCGUCAAGAACCAAUCUCCCAUUUAUUUCAAAGUGUUAGAUUAGUUAGUAAUCACUUUAGUUUGUGUUUUUAAGUGUUUUGAUUCAAGUGGUAAACCAAUUUCGUCCAAAUUUGUGUUUGUGCUCAAAACUGCCCAGAAAGUGUUUUUAAGGCAGUUUUGAGUCUUUUGGUUGCUGUUUUGAAUCUUUUUGUUUAUCUUAGUGUUUUAAACUUUAGUUUUGCAUUCUUUGAGUCUAGUUUAGUGUUUUAAACUUUGUUUUUAAGUUUUGAGUCAGUUUUCAAGUGAUUUGGCAAUCCCUCCUAAUCCCCGGCCUAGAACGAUCCCUACUUACAUACUUGCUACAAUUGAUGAAAAGAGGGUUUAAUUUGUGUGCUUAUAUAAAUCGCAUCAAAUUUUUGGCGCCGUUGCCGGGGAUUAGCAACUUUGCUAAUCCCUUUGAUUGUUUCUUUUCAUUCAUUUAUUUUGUUGAAGUUUCUGACCUUGUUUUGUUUCUUUGUUUUUAAAGUACUAGUGCAUGACUCGAAGUUCCCACCCUGUUCAUGAGCAUAUUUUGGACUUUGACGACGAUUUUGAGAGAACUUUGAGACGAAGAAGGAACCAACAAGAGUCCAACCCACUUAGCCUGGAACCUAACCUUGAAGAACAAGUUCCAGAAGAGGAGGAGAUACCCACGGCACAAGUGGGAGAAGUAGUGCAAGACAUGGCCAUGGACAACCGAACACUCAAGGAGCUCGCCGCUUCGGGAUUAGAUAAUGCCGCACCUUUGUGUAUCCAAUAUCCCACUGAUGUGAAAAUUAUGUUGACACACAAAUUAAACCCUAUUUGUGACAAUUGUAGUAACGAUGUAAGUAGGGAUAGUUCUAACCGGGGAUUAACUAGGGGUACUAAUCACUUGAAAACUGAAUUAGAAAUGCAAAAACAAAGUUUAAAACACUAGAUUAGACUCAAAGAAUGCAAAACUAACGUUUAAAAUACUAAAACAAACCAAAAACUCAAAACAGCAACUAAAAGACUCAAAACUACCUUAAAAACACUUUCUGGGCAGUUUUGAACACAAGCACCAAAUUGGACGAAUUUGGGUUUUAACUUGUACCAAAACACUUAAAACAUAAACCAACACACUUUCUAACUAAUCUAGGACUUCAAAACAAUUGGGGAUUUGAUUUGGACGAAAAUAAACUUAAAUGGCAGAUUGUAAGAGAAACAGAUUGUAAGAUAAAAUUGUAAUGAAUCAAUGGAUGAUGGAAUAGCUAAGGGGUUCUUCUCCACACAUGAAAUAUAUGCAACCUAAAUCGAUUUCCAGUUAUCAAAUUAAUAAGUUAUGAAUCUCGACAUUCCAAGUUAAUUAGGUCCGCUUAAAUUAACCUUCAGAUUUCCCUAGAAUCAUUGAAUUGGAUGAAUAUGCAUCGCAAACAAAUUAUUCCUAACAAGUUCUCUAUAUGAACAGCAUGAUAAAGAUACAAGUUAGAAUCAUUACGUUCUUUGGAAAUCAUAAGCAUCGACAAGGCAUUCGUAACUAUGAAAAGCAUGAUACUCUUGCCAGGAAUCUACUUAACACGAUCGUGACUAGCGAUCUUCACUACUUGCGAAUAUAAAUUCAUAACGAUUAGGUGAAACAAACUUAUAUCCUAGCACCAAAUUCAAGCAUACAAUUUAAGCGUGCACUCUCAAUCAACAUACAAGAAUAAGUUCUAAAUCAAACGGUUAAGAUUAUUGUAUUCACGACUUAUGCAACGAUAACUGGAAGUAUCAACUUAUUUCACAUAUAUAAUCAUGGUUUUGAAUCCACCCUUAGCCAAAACGAAUUUAGCCAAUCAUACUUAAAGCAAAACAAAGAUUACAUGAAUUAGACAUUGAAAUAUAAGAUAGAAAACACCUAAAAUCGUUCAACAACUCAGAUUGAAAAGCCAAACAAUUGUAGAGAAUCUGUCCCCUUUGUUGCUUGCGGCAGAUUGUAUGGUGAUGCUUCUUGGAUUGUUUUGAUGACGUAGAAUGGAAUUUGGGGGUUGUAGAGGCACGGCAAGGGGUGUAGGAUGAGUGUGGAUGAGUGUUUGAUGGGUGGAAGAUGGUGGAAAGCUCGGCAAGAAUGGUGGAGGGGUGCGGCAGAUUAUAGAACUAGGGUUUCUGGAAUUUUGAAUGAAUGUAGCAGCUGGUAGUUCGGCCUAGGGGUUAAAACACAUAUAUAUAAGCACUACAAACCCUAGGGCAAACAGAUUAGGGCCUCUAAAACCCAAAUCCAUCAGAAAUUAGGUUAAAACAAUUAGAAUUUAAGUGGGAAAAGGGCCUAGGGUGCGGCUGGUUACUAGGGUAAAGGAAUGGGCCUUCUAGAAUGCCUUGCAAGGCAAGGAAAUCAGAUUUCUAAAGCCCUAGGUGCGGCAAGGGUUAGGGGGGAAAGGCUAGGUCAUCUAAAAGCCCAAAGCCAAGAAUAGAAACUCUCGAAAAUGGAAACCUCCAAGAAUAGAAACUUCCAACUUUAGAAACUUUGGUUUCCAAUUCCGAAUUCUUUGUUCUUCACUUUCAUUUCUUCCUUUCUUAAGCUCCUUUGACCUUCAAACUCGUCCAUUCCUUGUGCUCCAUAAGCAUACACAACAUUCCAGCUCAAUUUUGCUCUAAAAUGCUCCAUUUCGCACUUAUUUGCAUUCUUUGUCUCUAAACCUGAAAUUGCAUGAAACUGACUUUAAACAUUGAAAUAACUCAAGAAAAACAACAUAAGUGCAUGAGAACAAGCCCACUAAGUCGCAUAAAUAUGCUCCUAUCACCCAUGGCUGCGCAAUGUAAGACCGAAGAGUUCGAGUUAAAGUCAAGUUUGCUCCACCACAUUCCAAAAUACCAUGGGCUGUCCAUGGAGGAUCCGAACAAGCAUUUAAAAGAAUUUGAAGUGGUGUGUUCAAGCAUGACUCCGGUUAACGUCGACGGAAGUAUUUUGAAGAUGAAGGAUUUUCCAUUCUCUUUAAUGGAUAAAGCCAAAGAUUGGUUGUAUGAGUUAGCUCCCGGAACUGCCACAUCUUGGGAGAGUAUGAAGAGGGCAUUUUUGGAGAAAUUUUUCCCAACUUCUCGAAUCAUUCUCCUACGUAAAAAGAUUAGUGGUAUUCAGCAAGAGGAAGGUGAGUCUUUUCCCACUUAUUAUGAACGUUUUAAAUCACUUGUUGCUUCUGGUCCACAGCAUCAGAUGAAGGAGGAGUUACUUCUACAAUACUUUUACGAGGGGCUCCUACCACUUGAACGUCAAAUGCUCGAUGCCUCGGCGGGUGGAGCAUUGGUGGACAAAACACCCAUGGCUGCCAAGAUCUUGAUCGCUAAUCGAGCAUUGAACGCUCAACAAUACGAAGUCGUUGGCCAAAGAGGACCCCCAUGGCAACAAGUGCAUGAGGUAAGUUCCACAUCCGACAUUCAUUCACAAUUAGCUAAUCUUACUUCCAUUGUGUCUCAGAUGGCCGAAGGAAUGAGAAUGCAAGGGCCAAUGGUGUGUGGCGUAUGUUCUAUCCAAGGACAUGCCUCGGAAAAGUGCCCUCAACUCAUUGAGAAUGGUGGAUGGGAGAGCGCUAACGCAAUUGGAUUUCAAGGCCAAAACCAACCGAGGAAUGAUCCAUAUUCAACCACAUAUAAACCAGGUUGGAGAGACCAUCCAAACUUCAAGUGGAGGGAGGCCCAACAACCCCAACAACAAGGAGGCUUUAGGCAACAACCCCCGGGGUUUUUCACCAAGCCAUACGUACCCCCACAUUUUCCACAACAAUCUACCCCAAUUGCUUCAGGUACAUCUCUAGACAAUGAUACACUCCUUAAGUUACUAACUAACUUGUCUCAGGGGCAAGAAAAUCAAACCAAAGCUAUACAAAGCCAAGACAAAAGGGUGGAUCAAUUGGAGAAACAAAUUGGGCAGAUUGCAGAUUUUGUAGGGAAGUUUCGAGACCAAUGCCAACUUCCUAGUUCUACCAUUCCAAAUCCAAAAGGAGGUUUCGAAAGUGCAAAAGCCAUAUUGUUGAGAAGUGGAAAAGAAGUUGGGGCAGGUCCUAUACCAUCAAAAUCAGGUCUCAAAGAAGAUGAAAACUUGCAAAUUGAAGAGGAAGAAGCAAGCCUACCCACGACAAAGGUGGUUCCACCUUUGCCGCAAGCUUCUAGUACCCCAAAUCUGUCCAAAUCGUCCAAUAAGGGUAAGAAUGUGUCAAAUUCAGUUCCUACAAAUGUUUUUCCUUCGAAUGUUCCUUUUCCUAGUAGGUUUAUGCAAACAAAGAAGGAGGAAGCUGAAAAGGACAUCCUUGAGACAUUUAGGAAAGUUCAAGUUAACAUACCCCUUUUGGAUGCAAUCAAGCAAGUCCCGAGAAAUGCCAAGUUUCUAAAGGAAUUACUAGGAAGAGGAUGUCGACCAAGGAGGUUGUCAAGGUAGGUGAAAAUGUAUCCGCCAUCUUGCAACGCAAACUACCCCCCAAAUGCAAAGAUCCGGGUAGUUUUACAAUUCCUUGUGUCAUUGGAAACACUCGCUUUGAAUCUGCCAUGUUAGAUUUAGGUGCUUCUAUAAAUGUUAUGCCAUACUCAAUUUAUGCAUCUAUGAAUUUAGGAGUGUUGAAAAAUGAUGGUGUAAUCAUACAAUUGGCCGAUAGAUCUAACGCCUAUCCAAAGGGAGUUUUGGAAGAUGUUCUUGUGCAGGUAAAUCACUUAAUCUUUCCGGCGAAUUUCUAUGUUCUCGAAAUGGAUGAAUCGGACCAUACCCCUUCAUUGCCCAUCCUCCUUGGAAGGCCAUUCAUGAAGACGGCCCGGACUAAAAUUGACGUGUUUAAUGGAACUUUGUCCAUGGAAUUUGAUGGGGAAGUUGUUAAUUUCAAUCUUUCAGAUUCUAUUAAGUACCCUAGUGAGGACCAUUCAUGUUUCUCUAUUGAUAUAAUUGACUCUUUGGCGCAGGGAUAUCUUGAAGAUUUGAAUGACGAUGUGCUUGAAAAAGUCAUUACAAGAGGCAUGAAACUCAAAACCAUGGAUGCAAACCAUAUGCUAACCCACGGCAUGCAUGAACCAUUCCAUGCCGUGGCUUAUAGUGAGGAAUUCAUUGAGUUGGUUGCUGCCCUUGAGUCAUUACCUAAGCAUGGUGGUAAGUCUCCUAACUUCGAUUCCAUUCCCAUUUCAACUAACAAGUUGCUUCCAUCAAUAAUUCAGGCACCUGUCCUUGAACUCAAACCAUUACCAAGCCAUUUGAAGUACAUUUUCUUGGGAGAAAAUGAGACCCUACCUGCCAUCAUAUCCUCAUUCCUCACGGCACAGGAAGAAGAGAAACUAGUUCGAGUCUUGAAGGAGUUCAAAUCUGCCCUAGGAUGGACCUUGGCCGAUAUCAAGGGUAUAAGCCCUACAACGUGCAUGCAUCACAUAUUUCUUGAGGGGGGCCAAACCAACUAGAGAGGCUCAACGCUGUCUCAACCUUCCAAUGGUGGAAGUUGUGAAAAAGGAGAUAAUCAAGCUCCUUGAUUGUGGAGUGAUCUAUCCUAGCUCCGAUAGCCGUUGGGUUUCACCUAUUCAAUGCGUGCCCAAGAAAUCUGGAGUGACGGUUGUGGAGAAUGUGGAGAAUAAGCUUGUAUCCACACGAAUCCAAACCGGUUGGCGAGUAUGCAUUGAUUAUAGGAAGCUAAACGCCACCACAAGGAAGGAUCAUUUCCCAUUGCCGUUUCUAGAUCAAAUGCUUGAAAGGUUAGCGGGUCAUUCCUUUUAUUUUUUUCUUGAUGGAUACUCUGGUUAUAAUCAAAUUUUCAUUGCCCCGGAUGAUCAAGAAAAGACCACUUUUACUUGUCCCUUUGGAACGUUUGCAUAUCGACGCAUGCCAUUCGGUUUGUGCAAUGCUCUUGCCACGUUUCAAAGGUGUAUGGUUAGCAUAUUUUCUGAUUAUGUUGAAAGGAUUAUUGAGAUAUUCAUGGAUGAUUUUAGUGUGUUUGGUAGUUCAUUUGAUAAUUGCUUAGAUAAUCUCACUUUAAUCUUGAAACGUUGUGUUGAAACAAUCCUUAUGUUAAAUUGGGAGAAAUGCCAUUUUAUGGUUAAACAAGGUAUUGUUUUGGGUCAUAUAAUAUCUGAAAAAGGAAUUGAAGUUGAUAAGUCUAAGAUAGAUCUUGUACGCUACUUACCCUCUCCUACUUCGGUGAGAGAGGUUCGUUCUUUUCUUGGUCAUGCAGGAUUCUAUCGACGAUUUAUCAAGGACUUUUCCAAGAUUGCACAACCUCUAUGCCGUCUCCUACAAAAGGAAGUGUCGUUUGAGUUCAACGAGGCGUGUGAGCAAGCAUUCAACCAUCUCAAGGACCUACUCACUACGGCACCAAUCAUUGUCCCACCGGAUUGGAGCCUACCGUUCGAGCUUAUGUGUGAUGCGUCCGAUUAUGCGUUAGGAGUUGUUUUAGGACAAAGGAAGGACAAGAGGCCGCAUGUCGUCUACUAUGCCUCACGGACAUUGAAUGAUGCGCAGUUGAACUAUUCCACUACGGAAAAAGAACUUCUUGCCGUUGUUUUUGCUUUAGAUAAGUUUAGAUCAUAUUUAAUUGGGACUAAAGUAAUUGUUUUCACUGACCAUGCAGCUUUGAAGUACUUGCUCACUAAAAAGGAAGCCAAACCGCGGCUAAUUCGUUGGAUGUUGCUACUUCAAGAGUUCGAUAUUGAGAUUCGUGACAAGAAGGGAAGUGAGAACGUGGUGGCUGACCACCUAAGCCGCAUGGUGCAUAAUGAGGAGUCCCUACCCAUUGUCGAGACAUUCCCCGAUGAACAAUUGCUGUCCAUAAUGAGAUCAAACAAAUUCUAGAGAAGACCGUUGGGCCUAUAAGGAAGGAUUGGAGCUUACGGUUAGAUGAUGCACUUUGGGCAUAUCGUACGGCAUACAAGACACCCAUUGGAAUGUCCCCAUUUCGGCUCAUAUAUGGCAAGCCGUGCCAUCUCCCUGUUGAAUUGGAACACAAAGCUCAUUGGGCCGUCAAGAAGUUCAAUAUGGACCUAAAUGCCGCAGGGAGUCAUAGGAAGUUGCAACUAAAUGAACUUGAUGAGAUAAGGCAUGAAGCGUACGAGAAUGCUAGCAUUUACAAGGAAAAGACCAAAGUUUUCCAUGAUAAGAUGAUUCGAGGCAAAACAUUCUCCGUAGGGCAGAAAGUGCUAUUGUUCAAUUCCCGUUUACGGUUAUUUCCCGGUAAGUUACGUUCUAAGUGGAUUGGACCGUUUGUUAUUACUAAUGUUUUUAUUCAUGGUGCAGUCCAGAUCCAAAGCUUGAAAACGGGACAUGAAUUCAAGGUGAAUGGGCAUCGAUUGAAGCCCUAUUAUGAGCAUUUUGAGGAGCAUGCCGUGGAGGACAUUCCCUUGCAUGCCGUGGGCUCCAAUGGGGAGUAAUUGCGUUCUUCGUCCGGCUGCACGACGUUAAAGCAAGCGCUUCUUGGGAGGCAACCCAUGUAUUCAAAUAAGGAAGAUUAUUGAAUCGCUCCACAAUCAGUUUUGCGUUAAAAACCUUCCCUUUUCUGCAGUUUUAUUUUGCCUUGAUUAUCAUUUUUAUUUGUUGCUUGUUUAAUUGUUUUUUGUGUGGGUUUAUUUUUGAAACACUGACAGUUAUGCAAGGUAAUUUUACAUUCAUAAAAAAAGAAAGGAACAUUAAGCAUAUAAAUACAAGAGGGAGCCUUCACAAAGGCUGCUUAGGAGAAGUCUCAGUAGUCGGCGGAGCCUCAGCAGUCGGUGGGGCCACAGAAGGAGGAGGUAUCGGAGGUUGAUCAUUUGGAGCUUCACUACGCGGUACAGCCCCAGAAGACGAAGGCAAAUGCUGUUGGAACAAACCCACAAACCUCCGAUGAUCAAGUAAAAUCUGACCAUCAGAGUCCUGCAUCUGGUCAAUUUUCCUCUUCAUGUUUGUGGCAUAGUUGUGUGCGAGCUUGUGCAACUGUUUAUUCUCAUGCUUGAGUCCUCUAAUCUCCUGUUUGAGACUCAUUACUUCAGCCGCCAACGAUUCAACUAGACGGGUUCGAGCAAAUAGGCGUUGGGCCAUGUUGGACACAGAACCCGCACACUGCACACUAAGAGCCAGAAACUCCUUAACAGCCAAUUCAUCAGACCGUCUGGAAAGCAGUCUGUUAUCUUUAGGAGUGACAAGGUUCCGGGCCACCACCGCAGCGGUCAUGUCAUUCUUCAUCACCGAAUCCCCAACGGUAAGAGGGCUAGUAGGGGAUAUGUAGGAUGGGCGCGAUAUAUUGUCUGGAGAAGACGGGACUGCCUCUUCACCAAGGUUCAAGUCAAAACGACGGUCGGAAGGGCCAGACAUUUUUAGAGGUGUUAAAGAAAGAAGAGGUCGGACAGGUUAAGAUCGUAGAAGUGCAAGAAUGGAGUUUUUACAGGUUGAAAUUCAAGUGUGCUUUGAACGUCCUGCGUACCUCUAUAAAAAUCAACAUGUGAUGGGAUUUCAGAGAUUGAAGAGGCGAGCUCAGAAUUCAAAGAGGCCAAUUCAAAAGUUGGGCUUACUCACAAACCAUCGAUUCCAGAUAUCGAAGAGUGUCAGCUUUCUCAGCCUCGUCAGCACCCGUCACACGCAAACUCAGCUUUACGAAAAUCACGGAAAAUUUGUCGAAGCAUCGAUCUCAGAUAGCAAAGAUGCGCCUGUCUCUCUCAGCCUCGUCAGCACCGGUCACACACAAACUCAACUUUGCGAAAAUCACAGAAAGUUUGUCGAAUCGCCGAUUCCAACCAUCUAUCUUUCUCAGCCCCGUCAGCUUUGAGGAAAUCACGGGCAAUCUGUCGACGAUUUCUGUUGAAGUAGAAAACACGUGAAGUUUACUGUUCAAUCAUCCAACGGUUGCCGACAGGAGUGAAAUAACAGUACCGGUUAUUAUUUCCUAUAAAUGUCGACCUUUACCCUCCAUGGCAAGGCAGACAUACAUAACCUUCCGUCAUCUCCGAGAAUGCCUUUCCAACAAACCCUCUCGAGUCACUCAGUGUUCCUUAUUCCUUGGGGUACCUCUGCAAAUAACCCAUCCAAAGAAAAAGUAUUUCAUAUCAUGAAGGUUGAAAGCAAGAGUAUCUCAUAUCAUGCUUUCUCCCUGUGCUUCUCCUUGUCGUUGAUUUAGGACAAGGAGAAAGUGACUAAUUAGACAACACUUGGUAUCAAUCUUCCGAUCUAGAACUGACUGCCUGGAACCCCUUCCUGAUUGGUUACCUAGCCUUGCUCUCGAGUACUCAUCUUCAUCAUCUUAUGCUUCCGCUUCGUCUACCACAUCUGCCUGGGAACAUAUAAGGGAAGUGAAAAUGAUAACUCGAAGCAUGUGGAGACAAUUUACCAAUUCAUCCUCAGCUAGGGACAAGGAGAAAGAAAGCAAGAGGUGGCCACUUGGAAAGAUUGAAGAAAGAAACAGACCAACACCUCUACCUCGUGUCUGCUUGCCGUGCAGAAGAAACAAGCAGAGAAGAAUGCAGACUGCACAAUCAAAUCAACCCAGCAGAAGGAGUCUGAUUUGAAACCAAGGAACUCUGAUAUUCCUCGCUCAGAAUUCCAAACCAGUUUGAGAUCAAAGCUGUGGAAAGUCAACAAGAUCAUCUAUCUCCAAAACCAGAUUUGCGUUCUUAAACUCUACUCUGUCUAUUUUUUGUUUACUUUGCUAUACUUGUCAUGUUUAUUCGUUGUUUGUUUAUUUGCUUAUUUUUGUGUGAGUUUAUGCUUGAAACAUUGAGGACAAUGUUUGAUUUAAGUGUGGGGGGUAAGCAUUGUUUUGCAUGAAAUUCGUAGGAGUUUAUCACCCAUUACUUCUAAUGUUGUUCCUUGCUCUUUUAAGUGUUUCAAGCUGUUUUGGAGUGUUUUAGUGUGUUUUGACAUAAAAAUCCGAAAAUCUCAUAAAAAUUGUUUUGAAAAAAAAAAAUACCAAAAAGAGUUGUUUUUUUUUUUUUGUAUGUGUCUUAGGGUACCUUCCAACACAAUGAUGAGGAUUUGGUUUUUAAUUACAUGACUGUUAAAGAGAGUUAUAAACAUGGAUGAACAUUUGAUUUACUCUUUGGUGUAUGCUUGGUUGUGGUUAUAAUUUAUGAAUUCACAUGCAAUCAUAAAGGAAAAAUUAGUUUUUGUAACAUGCUUGAAGGAAGGAACUCAAACAAACGCUACAACCUUGUGAGACUUGAGCCUAAAUGUUAUUUGGAGAGUUGAUAAUCUGUGCAUUAUUGUUUUCUAAGUCGUUGCAUGAUCUCAUUAUUCUUUGCUUGGUUACUACUUAGAAGGCGUUUCAUCAUUUAGUUCCAAAUGCUAGAACUCAUGCCCAUUUCAUUCAAAGCAUGCUAUUGAAUUGCAUAACACAUAUUCAAGAAGAAGUUGUGUAGUGACCACCACCUUAGCCAAAUUGCCAUGUAUACUACUUCAUUAUAUGUUCAAGUGUAAACCCCGUUGAGCCUUGUUUAGCCUGUUUUUCUUUGUUAAAUCACAUCAUCUCCACCUAGCCUAGAUUAGGACCAUCCAUACCCUUAUUCUUAAAGCAUAGUAAAGCAUGAUUCAAAUUGAAUUCCUUUUGAGUAAUGUUUGGCAGAAAACAAGUGUGGGGGAAAUGUUUCUCAUGUAAGUAGUGAGCCAUAGGCACGGGUGGAAAGAAAAGAAAAGAAAAAUAUGUCCAAAAAAAAAAAAAAAAAAGAGAAGAAAAAGAAAAGUUGUGAAAAUGUUUGAAAAAGAGUUCUAAAGUGUUGUUGUUGAAGAAGGGGUCCAAAACAUUGAAUUCGGCCCUAAGUGUUGCUCAAAUCUUCCCUUUGUGUUAAAAGUUGAUUUAUGCAUUCUAAAGUGAAUUCUAAGUUUCGAUUUCAUUACUUUGCUUGCUAUUGCCUUAGGAACGUUUGUUAUCCCUAUCUUUCCUUUGUUAACCAUUACCCCAAGCCCCGUUACAACCCUUGACUUCUAUCUUGAGUGUUAUGUGUUUCAAUUUGUGGAGUUUGAAUUUGGUAUGAGCAUAUGGUGUCACUGGUUCUCGCAUCUAAGUAGUAGCAUUCCAUUCAUGAGAUCAUAUCUAAACAUGCUUAUAACUCCAGAAAUUGCGUUCUUUGUGAUACAUAUAUGUGAGUGUUCGUUUUCAUAUCUACAGCAAUCUUCUCACAUAUGACUAGUAUAGGGUGUGUAGUUAGAAAAUCUGAGUGAAAAUUGAGUGCAUACUUUGUAAGGAAUUGAGUAAAUUCUCUAAGGCAUGUUACUACAUCAAAAACAUUGUUUUAAUCGAUUAAUUGUGAACAAGUAAAUGGUGACUAUGAUUAAGUAUGUGCUUAAGUGUAAGAUGUGAUGUGAAAAUUAACUUAACACACAAAUUAAACCCUAUUUGUGACAAUUGUAGUAAUGAUGUAAGUAGGGAUCGUUCUAACCGGGGAUUAACUAGGGGUGCUAAUCUAAUACAAAUCGACUUAGAAACACAAAUACUAAACUUAAAGACUCUAAUUAGACUACUAAGAUUCAAAACAGAUUUGAAACACUCAAAUCUGCCCAAAACUGACUAAAACAAAAUAAUUGACUCAAACAGCAACUAAGACAAGAUUUGGACGAAUUUGACAAAACUUAUGACUCAAAAUACUUAAAAACACCAAAGAGGACAGAUUAUGAAGACUCAAACUUAACAAAAUAUGGGGGAAUUGUGUUUGGACGAAUUUGAACUAAAUGCACAGAUUGUAAAUUAAAACAAAUUGUGAACUAAAUGUGAUGAAUCAAUGGGUGAUGGAAUGGCUAAGGGGUUCUUCUCCACACAUGAAAUUAAUGCAACGUAAUCGAUUUCCAGUUAUCAAUUCAAUAAGUUAUGAACCUCGACACUCCAAGUUAAUUAGGUCCGCUUAAAUUAACUUUCAGAUUUCCCUAGAAUCAUUGAAUUGGAUGAAUAUGCAUCGCAAACAAAUUAUUCCUAACAAGUUCUCUAUAUGAACAGCAUGAUAAAGAUACAAGUUAGAAUCAUUAAGUUCUUUGGAAAUCAUAAGCAUCGACAAGGCAAUUGUAACUAUGAAAAGCAUGAUACUCCUGCCAUGAAUUUACUUAACACGAUCGUGACUAGCGAUCUUCACUACUUGCGAAUAUAAAUUCAUAACGAUUAGGUGUAACAAACUUAUAUUCUAGCACCAAAUUCCAGCAUGCAAAUCAAGCGUGCACUCUCAAUCAACAUACAAGAAUAAGUUUUGAAUUAAACGGUUAAGCAAAUUGUAUUCACGACUUAUGCAACGAUAACUGGAAGUAAUCAACUUAUUUCACAUAAAUAAACAUGGUUUUGAAUACACCCUUAGCCAAAACGAAUUUAGCCAAUCAUACUCAAUGAAAAACAAAGAUUACAAGAAGUAGACAUUGAAAUAUAAGAUAGAAUACACCUAAAAUUGUUCAACAACUCAGAUUGAAGAGCCAAACAAUUUUCAUGAACUGUCUCCUUCUCUUCUCCUUGCGGCAGAUUGGGGGAGGAUGAUUUCUGGGGGGUUUUUGUGAUGUAGAAUGGAUUAUGGAUGGUGUAGGGGCACGGCAAGGCUUGGGGGUAGUGUAUGGGUGUUGUGUGGAAGGUGUGGAGAUGAAGAAUGGUGGUGGAAAUCGGCAGAGAUGGAGGAGGACUGGUUUCUGAGGUUGUGGAUGGGUUUUGACGAAUUUGGGAGAGUGUGUGGCUGAAUGGAGAUGUUUGUGGCUGCACAAACAUGUUUAUUUAAAGGGAUUAGGAAAUUAAAAACCCUAGACUAAUUAGGUAAUCAGGAAUUAAGUUUAAAGCUUCUAGAAUUAAGGAAACAAAUCAGAAAAUUAAAGGAAAUAGCAAGGGAAAUUCGGCUAGGGUUAAAAACACAAAAGGAAAGUGUUUUAAAGCCUAGAAUCAGGAAAUAAGAAAGAGGAAAUACCAAGGGGGGUGCGGCAAGGGUUCAAAAGGUGCAAGAAAUGUGUAUUUGAUGUCCUAGAAUGCUUAGGAAGUCUUCAUAAUUGCUGGAACUUUUAGGGACAAUUAGGAAAAAUCAAACCAAAGUAGGAAACCUUGGCUUAACUUUCCUACUUCAAGUAGGAAUCCUUGUUGGAGGAGGAAUCCUUGUUCUUCUAGGAAUCCUCAUGUGAUUAGGAAUCCAUCUUCAAUUAGGAAUCCUUCGUUGAUUAGGAAUCCUUCGUUGAUUAGGAAUCCUUCGUCGAUUAGGAAUCCUCCUUCAUGUAAGCACUUUCCUACUUCAACUAGGAAACCUUGUUCAAGUAGGAAUCAUCAUCUUCAAGUCUUCAAAUUCGUCCAAACCUUGGCUCCAAUUAUGUGAUAAUCAUUCCAAGCCCAAUUUUGCUCCAAAAAGCUCCAAAAUGCAUCUUCUUGCAUCCUUUGGCCUUAAAACCUGAAAACACAUAAAACUAGCUUAAAAGACUACUUUAACUAAGAAAACACCAUGGAAAUGCAUAAGAACUAGCUAACUAAGGCGCAUAAAUAUGCUCCUAUCAAAUUCCCCCACACUUAGCUUUUGCUAGUCCUCGAGCAAAACAAACAAAAGAAAGGAAACAAAACGAAACAAACUAACCAAAACAAAACCUAAACCUUCCAACAUUUGCUUAGGGAUUUCCAAUGCACAUGACAUGUUAAAGAUUGUUAUCCCCACAGAUUUGAGUUCUCUUUACUCGUAAGCACAUACUUAAUUAAAGCCACUACUUACUAGUUCACAAGUAAUCAAUUAAAACAAUGCUUUGAAUGUGGUAACAUGCCUUAGAGAAUUCCCUCAAUUCCUUACAAGAUAUAUACUCUAUUUUCACUCAGAUUUUCUAACUCCACACCCUACACUAGUCAUAUGUGAGAAGAUUGAUGUAGAUAUGAAAACGAAUGCUCACAUAUAUGUUUCACAAAGAACGCAAUUUCUAGAGUUAAGAAGCAUGUUUAGAUAUGAUCUCAUGAAUGGAAUGCUACUACUUAGAUGCAAGAGCCAGUGACACCAUAUGCUCAUACCAAAUUCAAACUCCACAAAUUGAAACACAUAACACUCAAGAUAGAAGUUAAGGGUUGUAAUGGGGCUUGGGGUGUUGGUUAACAAGGAAAGGAUAGGGAAACAAACGUUCUUAAAGCAUAAUAAGCAAAGUAAUGAAAUCUAGACUUAGAAUCACUUAUGAUUGCAGAAACUCACUUAGACCCUUUCUUCAACUACCAUAAACAUGUGAACUUAUUUUCACUUAUUUCAUACUCUUUUUUUUUUUCUUUCUUUCCACAACUUUUUCUUUUCUUUUUCCACGAAUUUUUUUUUUUUCUUUUUAUUUUCACUCAUGCCUUAUUUCUUUUCUUGGCAUAUCAACACACACAUACAAAUUCCCCCACACUUGUUUUCUGCCAUACAUUAAUCAAAAGGGAUUCAAUUUGAAUCAUGCUUUACUAUGCUUCAAGAACAAGGGUAUGGAUGGUCCUAAUCUAGGCUAGGUAGGUGUAAUGUGGGUUAACAAAGACAAUGGCUAAACAAGGCUCAACGGGGUUAAACCUAAACAUAUAAUGGAGCAGGGCACACGGCUUUUUGGCUAAGGUGGUGGUCACUACACAACUUCAUCUUGAAUAUGUGUUAUGCAAAUCAAUAACAUGCUUUGAAUGAAAUGGGCAUGAGUUCUAGCAUUUGGAACUAAAUGAUGAAACGCCUUUUAAGUAGCAACCAAGCAAGGAAUAAUGAGAUCAUGCAACGACUUAGAAAACAAAGAAUGCACAGAAUUUAACUCUCCAAAUAAACGUUUAGGCUCAAGUCUCACAAGGUUGUAGCGUUAGUUUGAGUUCCUUCCUUCAAGCAUGUUACAAAAACUGAUUUUUUCUUUUAUGAUUGCAUGUGAAUUCAUAAGUUAUAACCACAACCAAGCAUAAACAAAGAGUAAAUCAAACUUUCAUCCAUGUUAAUCACUCUUCUUUAACAGCCAUGUAAUUACAAACCGAAUCCUCGUCAUUGUGUUGGAAGGUACCCUAAGACACAAACAAACACACAAAAACAACUCUUUUUGGGUUUUUCAAAACAAAUUUUUCAAAUUUUUAUGAGAUUUUCGGAUUUCUAUGUCUAAACACACCAAAAUGCUUCAAAACAUACUAAAAACACUUAAAACAGCAAGAAACAACAUUGUAAGUGAUAGGUGAAUAAAACCCACGAAUUUUCAUGCAAACAUAUUGUUUACCCCCCCACACUUAAAUCAAACAUUGUCCUCAAUGUUUCAAGCAUAAACUAACAUAAACAAAAAUCAAACAAACAAACAGCAACUAAACACACUAAUCAUGGCAGAUGGUAAACAACAAAGAGAAGGGUUUGAGAAAUUCAAAUCUGGAAUUGGAGUGCUCUCUAGGUCUUCCUUUGUCGAAUGCAUGGGUUGCCUCCCACGAAGCGCUUUCUUUUACAUCUUGCAGCCGGACGAAGAACAUGAUCAUGCCCCAUUGGAGCCCACGGCAUGGAGUGGGAUCUCCUCCACAACCUGCCCCACAAAGUUCUUGUACAUUGCAUCCUUGAACGGAAAUGGAUAGUGAUGUUUGUUGAUGGGUGCGUUGUGUUGCCUAAGGUUCAUGUUCAUGCGCCCACCAUCGGGGAUUUGCUUGGGUACCUGCACCAAAGAAGGGAACCAACUAUCAACUUUAAUGGGAAUUGGAUUUGGACUAGGUGCCUUACCUUGGUGUUGUGAUGAAGUGGCAGCAACAUGAACUUUUUUCCUCAUGGUGUUCUCGGCCACAUUGGGUAUCUUAAGGGCAGUGGCCGUGGGGUCCUUAUGCUCUACUUUAAUUCCCUCGUCUUGCAUGGCUCUUGAUGCAACCUUUGUGUUAGGGGCUGAAUGGUCCGUCCCUAUCUUUUCUAUUGUAUCAAUAACACAACAAGAAUGAACAACGUUAGGCGUCUCAAUGGAUUCAGAAAUUUUAAAACAAAUCAUAUCACCACCAAAUGCCAUAGUUACUUCUCCUUUGGCUACAUCAAUCUUGGUUUGAGCCGUUUUCAUGAAAGGCCGUCCAAGGAGAAUGGGCAAUGAAGGAGCAUGAUCCGAUUCAUCCAUCUCAAGAACAUAGAAAUCCGCCGGAAGAUCAAAUGAUUAACCUGCACCAAAACAUCUUCCACAACUCCCUUUGGAUAUGCAUUAGAUCUAUCGGCCAAUUGUAUGAUUACACCAUCAUUUUUUAACUUGCCUAGGUUCAUAGAUGCAUAAAUUGAAUAUGGCAUAACAUUUAUGGAUGCACCUAAGUCUAACAUGGCAGAUUUGAACCUAGUAUUACCAAUGACACAAGGAAUGGUGAAACUACCCGGAUCUUUGCAUUUAGGAGGUAGUUUACGUUGUAUCAUGGCAGACACAUUCUCACUUACCUGUACCACUUCUUUCUCCCGAAAACGUUUCUUUGUUGUACAAAGCUUCUUCAAACACUUGGCGUACUUCGGGAUUUGCUUGAUUGCAUCCAAGAGAGGUAUGUUAACUUGAACCUUCCUAAAUGUCUCUAGAACAUCUUUUUCCUCCUCUUCAUUCUUGAAUUGCGCAAAUCUGCGAGGGAAAGGAACAUUGGGCAGAUUAGUGUUUGAAUUCACAACAUUUGGAACAACAUUACCUGAGGUGGACGGAUGGGAGGGCUUAGGUGGCUGCGGCAUAGGUGGUACCACCCUUGCCGUGGGGUGUGAUGGCUCUUCCUCCUUGUUUUGGGCAGAUUCAUGUGCUUUGCUUCCUACUUCUUUUCCACUUCUUAGGGUGAUAGCUUUUGCAGAUUCAAACCCACCCUUAGGAUUGACUACCGUAGUGCUUGGUAACUUACCAUUCUCACGAAUUUGCCCCAAAAAUUCUGCCAUUUGGCCCAUUUGCUUCUUGAGCUCAUUAACUUCCUUUGCUUGGGUCUGCAAUCCCUGCGCCAUUGUGGUCAGUAAUUGAUAAGUUUUAUCAUCAUUCAUAGAAGUACCUGAGUUGUUUUGUGAUGAUUGUGCUUGAGGAGGUGGUUGUGGUGCCAUUGGCCUUGGAAUGAAACCCGGAGGUUGUCGGAAUCCACCUUGUUGGGCAGGUUGUUGUGCAUCUCUCCAUCUGAAAUUUGGGUGGUCACGCCAUCCUUGAUUGUAUGUAUUAGAGAAAGGAUCACCCCUUGGUUGGUUUUGAUUCCCAUAACCCACGGCAUGGGCAGAUUCCCACCCUCCAUUUUCAAUUAAUUGAGGGCAUUGAUCCGAUUGGUGUCCUUGAAUGGAGCAUACACCACAGAUUGUAGUUCCUUGCGUUUUGGGGCCUUCAACAAACUGCGAUAACAUAGAAGUAAGGUUAGCCAUUUGGGAUUGUAACUCAGAAAUAGAACUUACCUCAUUUACAUGAUGUGACCGUGGGGUAUCUCUCUGCCCAACACCUUCAUAUUGUUGUGCGUUGUGUGCUCGGUUCGCAAUGAGAGUCUUGGCAGCCACCGGAGUCAUGUCCACCAAUGCACCACCCGCCGAGGCAUCUAGCAUUUGGCGUUCCAUGGGAAGGAGUCCUUCGUAGAAGUAUUGAAGGAGCAACUCCUCCUUCAUUUGAUGCUGUGGACAAGAAGCAACAAGAGUUUUAAAACGUUCAUAAUAUGUUGGAAAUGACUCACCUUGGCUUUGUUGGAUGCCACUAAUGCGUUUCCUCAAAAGAAUGACUCUUGAGGUUGGAAAGAAUUUUUCCAAAAACGCUCGUUUCAUGCUCUCCCACGAGGUAACCGUCCCCGGGGCCAAUUCAUACAACCAAUCUUUAGCUUUAUCCAUUAGAGAGAAUGGAAAAGCUUUCAUCUUCAAAAAUGUUGCCAUCAACAUUUACCGGCGUCAUGCUUGAACAAACAACUUCAAACUCCUUCAAGUGUUUGUUUGGGUCUUCCAUGGACAGCCCAUGGUACUUUGGAACAUGAUGUAACAAGCUCGACUUCAAUUCGAACUCCUCGGUUUUCCCUUGGGCUGCCGCGGGGUAUUGGAUGCAAAGAGGGGCUGCAUUAUCCAAACCCGAGGCAGAAAGCUCCUUAAUGGUUCGGUUGUCCGCUGCCAUCUCUUGGUUCUCCUCUACAACUCUAGCCGUGGGCUCUUCUUCCUCUUCAAAUUCGUUUUCUUCGCAAUGAGGUUCCGGGCUAGGUGGAUUGGAUGCUUGUUGCCUUCUUGUUCUUCUCAAAGUUCGCUCAAAAUCGUCGUCGAACUCCAAAAUGUUUGCUUGGACAGAUUUGGAACUUCGAGUCAUACACUUGUACCUAAAACAAGAAAACAAGAAACCAAGUCAGAAACUGAAUUUAAAACAAACAAAAAUAACACAAAAAUAAAUAACGAGGGAUUAGCAACUUUGCUAAUCCCCGGCAACGGCGCCAAAAUUUGAUGUGAAAAUUAACUUAACACACAAAUUAAACCCUAUUUGUGACAAUUGUAGUAAUGAUGUAAGUAGGGAUCGUUCUAACCGGGGAUUAACUAGGGGUGCUAAUCUAAUACAAAUCGACUUAGAAACACAAAAACUAAACUUAAAGACUCUAAUUAGACUACUAAGAUUCAAAACAGAUUUGAAACACUCAAAUCUGCCCAAAACUGACUAAAACAAAAUAAUUGACUCAAACAGCAACUAAGACAAGAUUUGGACGAAUUUGACAAAACUUAUGACUCAAAAUACUUAAAAAACACCAAAGAGGACAGAUUAUGAAGACUCAAACUUAACAAAAUAUGGGGGAAUUGUGUUUGGACGAAUUUGAACUAAAUGCACAGAUUGUAAAUUAAAACAAAUUGUGAACUAAAUGUGAUGAAUCAAUGGGUGAUGGAAUGGCUAAGGGGUUCUUCUCCACACAUGAAAUUUAUGCAACGUAAUCGAUUUCCAGUUAUCAAAUUCAAUAAGUUAUGAACCUCGACACUCCAAGUUAAUUAGGUCCGCUUAAAUUAACUUUCAGAUUUCCCUAGAAUCAUUGAAUUGGAUGAAUAUGCAUCGCAAACAAAUUAUUCCUAACAAGUUCUCUAUAUGAACAGCAUGAUAAAGAUACAAGUUAGAAUCAUUAAGUUCUUUGGAAAUCAUAAGCAUCGACAAGGCAAUUGUUAACUAUGAAAAGCAUGAUACUCCUGCCAUGAAUUUACUUAACACGAUCGUGACUAGCGAUCUUCACUACUUGCGAAUAUAAAUUCAUAACGAUUAGGUGUAACAAACUUAUAUUCUAGCAACCAAAUUCCAGCAUGCAAAUCAAGCGUGCACUCUCAAUCAACAUACAAGAAUAAGUUUUGAAUUAAACGGUUAAGCAAAUUGUAUUCACGACUUAUGCAACGAUAACUGGAAGUAAUCAACUUAUUUCACAUAAAUAAACAUGGUUUUGAAUACACCCUUAGCCAAAACGAAUUUAGCCAAUCAUACUCAAUGAAAAACAAAGAUUACAAGAAGUAGACAUUGAAAUAUAAGAUAGAAAUACACCUAAAAUUGUUCAACAACUCAGAUUGAAGAGCCAAACAAUUUUCAUGAACUGUCUCCUUCUCUUCUCCUUGCGGCAGAUUGGGGGGAGGAUGAUUUCUGGGGGGUUUUUGUGAUGUAGAAUGGAUUAUGGAUGGUGUAGGGGCACGGCAAGGCUUGGGGGUAGUGUAUGGGUGUUGUUGUGGAAGGUGUGGAGAUGAAGAAUGGUGGUGGAAAUCGGCAGAGAUGGAGGAGGACUGGUUUCUGAGGUUGUGGAUGGGUUUUUGACGAAUUUGGGAGAGUGUGUGGCUGAAUGGAGAUGUUUGUGGCUGCACAAACAUGUUUAUUUAAAGGGAUUAGGAAAUUAAAACCCUAGACUAAUUAGGUAAUCAGGAAUUAAGUUUUAAAGCUUCUAGAAUUAAGGAAACAAAUCAGAAAAUUAAAGGAAAUAGCAAGGGAAAUUCGGCUAGGGUUAAAAACACAAAAGGAAAGUGUUUUAAAGCCUAGAAUCAGGAAAUAAGAAAGAGGAAAUACCAAGGGGGGUGCGGCAAGGGUUCAAAAGGUGCAAGAAAUGUGUAUUUGAUGUCCUAGAAUGCUUAGGAAGUCUUCAUAAUUGCUGGAAACUUUUAGGGACAAUUAGGAAAAAUCAAACCAAAGUAGGAAACCUUGGCUUAACUUUCCUACUUCAAGUAGGAAUCCUUGUUGGAGGAGGAAUCCUUGUUCUUCUAGGAAUCCUCAUGUGAUUAGGAAUCCAUCUUCAAUUAGGAAUCCUUCGUUGAUUAGGAAUCCUUCGUUGAUUAGGAAUCCUUCGUCGAUUAGGAAUCCUCCUUCAUGUAAGCACUUUCCUACUUCAACUAGGAAACCUUGUUCAAGUAGGAAUCAUCAUCUUCAAGUCUUCAAAUUCGUCCAAACCUUGGCUCCAAUUAUGUGAUAAUCAUUCCAAGCCCAAUUUUGCUCCAAAAAGCUCCAAAAUGCAUCUUCUUGCAUCCUUUGGCCUUAAAACCUGAAAACACAUAAAACUAGCUUAAAAGACUACUUUAACUAAGAAAACACCAUGGAAAUGCAUAAGAACUAGCUAACUAAGGCGCAUAAAUAUGCUCCUAUCAAGAUGAUUCAAAUCUGUGGGGAUAAUGAUUUUUAACAUGUCAUGUGCAUUGGAAAUCCCUGAGGCAAAUGUUGGAAGGUUUAGGUUGUGUUUUAUUUGUUUUGUUUCGUUUUAUUUCUUUGUUUUGCUCGAGGACUAGCAAAAGCUAAGUGUGGGGGAAUUUGAUAGGAGCAUAUUUAUGCGACUUAAUUGGCUUCUUCUCGUGCGUUUACGUUGUGUUUCCUUAGUUAUUUUAGCAUUUAAAGUCAUUUUCGUAUGUUUGUAGGUCUUAAUAACAACGUUGGCAAGAAAAGUGCAUUUUGGUGCAUUUUGGAUCAAAAUUGGGCUGAAAUGGAUUGCAUGCAUGAGGAUGGACGUUUUGGGCAUAUGUGUGUGCAAGUGUGUGUGUGCAAAUGCAAGGGUAAACAAUGACAACUCAUACACAUGCAAACUCACGGCAAUGGGAAGGAAUUGUGUUUGUUUUGUGGCUGAAAUGAUGUGUGUGCAAGUGUAACAACUAGGAUGAAACAUGGCAGCACACACAUGCAAAGAGGAGCUGGAAUCAUCCUUCACACAAAUGCAGCAACAACCCCUCAUCAUUACACAACAUUUCUGCCACAAAACACAUGCAAAAGACACCCACAUGCAAAGUGGAAGAAAGGCACGGCAAAGGGGAAGGAAUUGUGCUUGUUUUGUGGCUGAAAUGAUGCAAAGAACAUGUGUGUGUGCAAGUGUAAUAGCUAGGAUGAUAACAUGGCAGCAAACACAUGGCAAAGAAAAGAACAUGGCAGCAAACACAUGGAGCACACGGCAUGGGCAGAAAAUGUGGGUGUUUGGUGGUUGAAAUGAUGAAGCAUGUGUGUGUAAAUGUAAAGGGGAAACAUGACAGCUCACACCCACACAAGCUGCACAUGCAAAGGAAAUGAAGUGGUCCUCUCUCAAGCCUAUAAAUACCACCUCCCAUAUUCAUCAAAGAAUAGAUUGGGAUCCUUGUCUUUGCUGUGAGUUUUCCACCACCAUUCUCUCCAAAUUCAGCCAAAAAUCACCCCUAGCCACACCACCCAUCAACCCUAAACCUUUCCAUACCAUUCCCCAUCCAUUCUACACCAUAAAAACCACCCAAACCCUGUCCAAAACCUCUCUGCCGCAGCAAGGAAGAAGGAGGAACUUUGGAUGCACCUGCUGCCAAGUUGGAGUGUUUUAGGUGUUGUCUUUCUUUGAAUUUUAAUGUCUAAUUUUAUGUAUCUUUGCUUUGCAAAUAUGAGGAACUAAACCCCCCUUGGCUAGGGGGGGAUUCAAAACCAUGUUUAUGCUUGCUAUAUGAUUUGAUUACUUCCGAUUGCGUUUCAUGAAUUGUGAAUUUAAUUUACUUAUCUCUAUGAAUUAAAACUAAUUUGUGUAUGUUGGUUGAGAGUGCACGCUUAAUUUUCAUGCAUAAGUUUGUUGCUAGGAUAUAAGGGAGUUUCACCUAAUCGUUAUGAACUUAUAUUCAUAAGUAGUAAAGGUUGUUGAUCACAAUCAUGUUAAGUAAAUUCUUGGCAUAAGUUUCAUGCAAUUCAUAGUAACAAGUGCCUCGCCAAUGCUUAUGGUUUUCAUAGAACUUAAUGAUUCUUGCUUGUAUCUCUAUUAUACAAUUCAUGUAGGGGACUUGUGAGGAAUGCUUUGGGUUGUCGUAUGCAAUUCAUCCAAUUCAAUAACUUUAGGGAAAUCUGAGGGUUAAUUAGUGCAAUUCACAGUUAAUCUGGGGUGUUGGGAAUUCAUGGUGUGUUGAAGAGCAAUUGGAAAUCAUUUUGUAUGCAAGUAUAACAUGUGUGGAGAAGAACCCCUUAGCUAGCUUCUCAUCCAUUCAAUUUAAUCAAUCUCGUUUUACAAUCUGCUAGUUCUUAAAGUUUUUGUUUAGUUUUAAAUUUCGUCAAGAACCAAUCUCCCAUUUAUUUCAAAGUGUUAGAUUAGUUAGUAAUCACUUUAGUUUGUGUUUUUAAAUGUUUUGAUUCAAGUGGUAAACCAAUUUCGUCCAAAUUUGUGUUUGUGCUCAAAACUGCCCAGAAGGUGUUUUUAAGGCAGUUUUGAGUCUUUUGGUUGCUGUUUUGAAUCUUUUUGUUUAUCUUAGUGUUUUAAACUUUAGUUUUGCAUUCUUCGAGUCUAGUUUAGUGUUUUAAACUUUGUUUUUAAGUUUUGAGUCAGUUUUCAAGUGAUUUGGCAAUCCCUCCUAAUCCCGGCCUAGAACGAUCCCUACUUACAUACUUGCUACAAUUGAUGAAAAGAGGGUUUAAUUUGUCUGCUUAUAUAAAUCGCAUCAAUAAGCUCGAAAGGAAUGCUCCAAUCUGAUGGCAUAAUGAUGGGGGCCGAAGUUAGCAUCUCUUUGAGGUGUUUGAACGCCUUCUCACAUUCCUCGUUGAAUUCAAAGGGCACAUCCUUUUGGAGAAGUCGGCACAAGGGUGUUGAAAUCUUUGAAAAAUCCUUGAUGAAUCGCCUAUAGAAUCUUGCAUGUCCAAGAAAAGAACGAACCUCUCUAACCGAAGUAGGAGAGGGUAAGUAGUGUACAAGAUCUAUUUUCAAUUUAUCAACCUCAAUUCCCCUUUCAGAAACGAUAUGCCCUAAACCUAUGCCUUGUUUUACCAUAAAGUGACAUUUUUCCCAAUUUAGAACAAGGUUAGUUUCAACGCAUUGUUUUAACAUUAAUGUGAGAUUUUCCAAACAACCAUCAAACGAAUCACCAAAGACAUUAAAAUCAUCCACGAAUACCUCAAUAAUCUUCUCAACAAAAUCUGAAAAGAUACUUACCAUGCAUCUUUGAAAAGUGGCAGGUGCAUUGCAUAAACCGAAUGGCAUGCGACGAUAAACAAAAGUACCAAAGGGGCACGUGAAAGUGGUCUUUUCUUGGUCCUCCGGAGCUAUGACAAUUUGAUUAUAUCCCGAAUAACCAUCAAGAAAACAAUAAAAAGAAUGAACGGCUAACCUUUCAAGCAUUUGAUCAAUGAACGGCAAGGGAAAGUGGUCAUUCCUUGUUGUGUUGUUGGGCUUUCUAUAAUCGAUGCACACUCUCCAACCUGUUUGGAUACAGGUUGGCACAAGCUCAUUCUCGGCAUUCUUCACCACAGUAACUCUGGACUUCUUUGGAACAACUUGAACUGGUGAAACCCAACGGCUAUCCGAAAUUGGAUAAAUCACUCCACAAUCGAGAAGCUUAGCCCCUCGAAUGGCAUUCUUCACAACUUCCAUCAUUAAAGGGUUAAGUCGGUGUUGAGCCUCUCGAGUUGGCUUAGCCCCCUCCUCUAGAAGUAUGCGAUGCAUUCAUGUUGUAGGGCUAAUCCCCUUAAUAUCGACCAAGGUCCAUCCAAUGGCUGUUUUGUGCUCUUUCAACACCUGAAUUAACUUCUCCUCCUCUAUUACUGUGAGUGAUGAAGAGACAAUGACGAGCAACAUCUCUUCAUCUCCCAAAAAGACGUACUUUAAAUGAUCCUGCAAUGGUUUAAGUUCAAGAACGGGGGCCUGAAUCACUGAAGGUAACAACGUAUUAGUAGAAACGGGAAUUGGAAUUGAGUUUGGAGGCUUACCAUGAUGUUGUGGCAGUGAUUCAAAAGCAACCACAAUCUUGGCAUGUGCUACAUUAGGUACGGCCAGAUUGGGCUUCAAUCCAAUUCCUUGUGCAAUUGUUGUUUCAAGGGGAUCUUCUUCCAACAAGUCAAGAUAAUCCUGCGCCAAUUCAUCAAAUACAUCAAUAGAAAAACAAGAAUGAUCAUCUCUGGGAAAUUUAUUAGCUUCAGAAAUGUUAAAAUCAAUAAUCUCCCCAUCAAAUUCCAUUGUUAACGUCCCCUUGAACACAUCUAUCUUGGUGCGUGCUGUUUUCAUGAAGGGCCUUGAUGCGUAAAAUAACUAAACACACAAAUUAACCCUCUUGUUGACAAUUGUAGUAUGGAUAAGUAGGGAUCGUUCUUAAACCGGGGAUUAGGAGGGAUUGCUAAAACACUCUAAACUGACUCAAAUCUGUAAAACAAAGUUUAAAAUACUAAACUAGACUCAAAGAAUGCAAAACUAAAAUCUAAAACACUAAACAAACCAAAAGACUCAAAACAGCAAACAGACACUCAAAACUGCCUUAAAACCACUUUCUGGGCAGUUUUGGGACUCUAACACAACUUGGACGAAUUUUGGUUUCCUAAUGACCUAAAACACCUAAAAACAUAUUCUAAGACAAGUUCUAAGUAAUAUGACUUAAAGGAAUAAGGUGGGAUUGAUUUUGGACGAAAAUAAUUAAAUGGGCAGAUUGAAAAAGAAAAUAGAUUGUAAAACAAAAUUGUGAUGAAUCAAUGGAUGAUGGAAUAGCUAAGGGGUUCUUCUCCACACAUGAAAUAUAUGCAACGUAAAUCAAUUUCCAGUUAUCAAUUUAAUAAGUUGUGAACCUCGACACUCCAAGUUAAUUAGGUCCGCUUAAAUUAACCUUCAGAUUUCCCUAGAAUCAUUGAAUUGGAUGAAUAUGCAUCGCAAACAAAUUAUUCCUAACAAGUUCUCUAUACGAACAGCAUGAUAAAGACACAAGUUAGAAUCAUUACGUUCUUUGGAAAUCAUAAGCAUCGACAAGGCAUUUGUAACUAUGAAAAGCAUGAUACUCUUGCCAGGAAUCUACUUAACACGAUCGUGACUAGCGACCUUCACUACUUGCGAAUAUAAAUUCAUAACGAUUAGGUGAAACAAACUUAUAUCCUAGCACCAAAUUCAAGCAUGCAAAUUAAGCGUGCACUCUCAAUCAACAUACAAGAAUAAGUUCUAAAUCAAACGGUUAAGCAAAUUGUAUUCACGACUUAUGCAACGAUAACUGAAAGUAAUCAACUUAUUUCACAUAUAUAAUCAUGGUUUUGAAUACACCCUUAGCCAAAAAGAAUUUAGCCAAUCACUCAAAGCAAAACAAAGAUUACAUGAAUUAGACAUUGAAAUAUAAGAUAGAAUACACCUAAAAUUGUUCCAACAACUCAGAAUGAAGAGCCAAACAAUUAAGUGAAUCUGUCCCCUUUCCUUGCUUGCGGCAGAUUGGAUGUUGGUGGUUUCUUGGGUUAUUGAAUGAUGUAGAAUGGAUGGAGGACGUAUGGAAGUGUUUAGGGUUGAUGGGUGGUGCGGCUAGGGUGGUUUUGGGUCAGAAAAUAUGGUGAAUGGUGAAGGAAUGGGGCUGUUGAAGAUGGAGUUCAGUUUCUGGCGUGAAUGGUCAGUUUCUGGAUGAAUGGGGAUGUUUUUGGCUGCACCAGGAUGAGUUUAUUUAAAGGGAUUAGGAAAUUAAAAACCCUAGACUAUUUUGGUAAACAGAAAUUAAGUCAAAAGCUUCUAGAAAUAGGAAAUUAAAUAAGAAACUUAAGGGAAAGUCAAGGGAUAUGCGGCAACACCUUGAAACACAUUAGGAAUGUGUUUUAAUGCAUAAAAUCAGGAAAGAACCCUCUCCCUUGCACGGCAAGGAAGAGGAAAGGGCAAGGAACCUUCACAAGGUGCGGCAAGGCUUUAGGAAAGGUCUAAGUGUCCUAAAACUAAUGGAAAAAGGGAUCCCUUGCAAGGCAAGGAAAGGGAAAAUUGGGAAAGGUGCGGCAAGGCUUUACAAUGUGCAAGAGAGGUGUAUUUGAUGUCCUAGAAUGCUUAGGAUGCCUUCAAAGUUGAUAAAUCUUAGGAACAUUUAGGAAAGGUCAAACCAAAGUAGGAAACCUUGGCUUAACUUUCCUAUUUCAAGUAGGAAUCCUUCUUGGAGUAGGAAUCCUUGUUCUUCUAGGAAUCCUCAUGUGAUUAGGAAUCCAUCUUCAAUUAGGAAUCCUUCGUCGAUUAGGAAUCCUUCUUCGAUUAGGAAUCCUUGAUUGAUUAGGAAUCCUAAUUUCUUCAAGUCUUUAAUUCAUCCAUUCCUUUUGCUCCAAGCAUUUGAUAAUCAUUCCAAGCUCCAUUUUGCUCCAAAAGGCUCCAAAAUGCGUACUUUGCCUUUAGAAUCUGAAAACACACAAAAGUAACUUUAAACACUAAAAUAGCUAACGAAACAUAACAUAAAUGCACGAGAACAAGCCAAUUAAGUCGCAUAAAUAUGCUCCUAUCAAAUUCCCCCACACAUAGCUUUCGCUAGUCCUCGAGCAAAACAAAGAAAUACAACAAAACAAAACAAAUAAAACACAACCUAAACCUUCCAACAUUUGCCUCAGGGAUUUCCAAUGCACAUGACAUGUUAAAAAUCGUUAUUCCCCACAGAUUUUAGUCAUCUUUACACUUAAGCACAUACUUAAUCAUAGUCACCACUUACUUGUUCACAAUUAACCAAUUAAAACAAUGUUUUUGAUGUAGUAACAUGCCUUAGAGAAUUUACUCAAUUCCUUACAAGAUAUGCACUCAAUUUUCAGUCAGAUUUUCUAACUACACACCCUAUACUAGUUAUAUGUGAGAAGAUUGAUGUAGAUAUGGAAACGACCGCUCACAUAUAUGUAUAACAAAGAACGCAAUUUCUAGAGUUAAUAAGCAUGUUAAGAUAUGAUCUCAUGAAUGGAAUGCUACGACUUAGAUGCGAGAACCAGUGACACCAUAUGCUCAUACCAAAUUCAAACUCCACAAAUUGAAACAUAUAACACUCAAGAUUGAAGUCAAGGGUUGUAACCGGGCUUGGGGUGUUGGCUAACAAAUGAAGGAUAGGGAUAACAAACGUUCUUAAAGCAAUAGUAAGCAAAGUAAUGAAAUUGAAACUUAGAAUUCACUUAGAUUGCAGAAAUCAACUUUUAAACACAAAGGGAAGAUUCAAGCAAAAUUUAGGGCCGAAUUCAAAGUUUUGGACCCCUUCUUCAACAAACAAUACUUUAGAACUCUUUUUUCACAUCUUUUCAACUCUUUUUCAGUCUUUUCACACAUUUUUCUUUUUCCACGAAUUUCAUUUUUUUCUUCUUUUCUUUUCUUGCCGUGUUCUAUGGCACCCAAAAUACCCAAAUUGAAACCUUUCCCCCACACUUGUUUUCUGCCAUAUAUAAAUCAAAAGGAAUUCAAUUUGAAUCAUGCUUUACUAUGCUUCAAGAACAAGGGUAAGGAUGAUCCUAAUCUAGGCUAGGUGAGGUUAAUGUGGGUUAACAAAGAAUGAAGGCUAACAAGGCUCAAUGGGGUUAACUUAAACAUAAACAUGAAGUAGGGUACAAGGCAUUUUGGCUAAGGUGGGGGUAACUACACAACUUCAUCUUGAAUAUGUGUUAUGCAAUUCAAUAACAUGCUUUGAAUGAAAUGGGCAUGAGUUCUAGCAUUUGGAACUAAAUGAUGGAACGCCUUCUAAGUAGUAACCAAGCAAAGAAUGAUGAGAUCAUGCAACGACUUAGAAAACAAUAAUGCACAGAUUUUAACUCUCCUAAUAAACGUUUAGGCUCAAGUCUCACAAGGUUGUAGUGUUUGUUUGAGUUCCUUCCUUCAAGCAUGUUACAAAAACUAAUUUUUUUCUUUAUGAUUGCAUGUGAAUUCCUAAGCUAUAACCACAACCAAGCAUAACAAAGAGUAAUUCAAACUUUCAUCAUGUUCAUAACUUUCUUUAACAGCCAUGCAAUUACAAACCGAAUCCUCAUCAUUGUGUUGGAAGGUACCCUAAGACACAACACAAAAACGACUCAAAACACUCUUUUUAGGUUUUUCAAAACACUUUUUUCAAAUUUUUAUGUGAUUUUCGGAGUUUUAUGUUAACACAUACCAAAACACACCAAAACUGCUCAAAAACACUUAAAAACAGCAAAGAACAAGUCUCUAAGUAAUGGGUGGUACAAUCCCACGAAUUUGAAUAAAAAAAAACACUUAGUUACCCCCCCACACUUAAAUCAAACAUUGUCCUCAAUGUUUCAAGCAUAAAAUCACACCAAAUAAAAUUAAACACACAAACAGCAAGUAAACAAAUAAACUGGCAGAUUAUAAACAACAACAAAGAGAAGGGUUUUAGGAAUGCAAAUCUGGAAUUGGAGUGCUCUCUAGGUCUUCCUUUGUCGAAUGCAUGGGUUGCCUCCCAAGUAGCGCUUUCUUUAACGUCUUGCAGCGGAACGAAGAGCUCAUUCAGCUCUCAUUGGAGCCCACGGCAUGCAGUGGGAUCUCCUCCACAUCAUGCUCAACAAAGUUCGCAUACAUUGCAUCCUUGAAUGGAAAUGGAUAGUGAUGUUUGUUGAUGGGUGCGUUGUGUUGCCUAAGGUUCACGUUCAUGCGCCCACCAUCGGGGAUUUGCUUGGGUAUCUGCACAAAAGAAGGGAACCACCUAUCAACUUUAAUGGGAAUUGGAUUUGGAUUAAGUGGCUUACCUUUGUGUUGUGAUGAAGUGGCAGCAAUGUGAACAUUCUUCCCCAUGGUGCUUUCGGCCAAUUUGAGCACUUUGAGGGCAGUGGCCGUGUGGUCCUUGUACUCCAUUCCAAUUCCCACGUCUUGCAUAGUUCUUGAUGCAUCCUUUGUGCUUGGUGCUGAACGGUCCGGUCCUAUCUUUUCAAAUUUAUCAAUGGCACAACAAGAAUGAACAACAUUAGGAGUCUCAAUGGAUUCAGAAAUUUUAAAACUAAUCAUGUCACCAACAAAUGCCAUAGUUACUAAUCCUUUGGCCACAUCAAUCUUCGUUUGAGCCGUUUUCAUGAAUGGCCUUCCAAGGAGGAUGGGCAAUGAAGGGGCAUGGUCUGAUUCAUCCAUUUCGAGGACAUAGAAAUCUGCCGGGAAGAUUAAAUGAUCAACCUGCACUAAAACGUCUUCCAAAACUCCCUUUGGAUAAGCAUUAGAUCUAUCGGCCAAUUGUAUGAUUACACCAUCAUGUUUAAGUGCUCCUAGAUUCAUAGAUGCAUAAACAGAAUAUGGCAUAACAUUUAUAGAUGCUCCUAAAUCUAGCAUGGCAGAUUUGAAACGGGUAUUACCAAUGACACAUGGAAUUGUGAAACUACUUGGAUCUUUACAUUUUGGUGGCAGCUUUCUUUGCAACAUUGCGGAGACAUUCUCGCUUACAUGUACCACUUCUUUCUCCCGGGCACGUUUCUUUGUUGUACAAAGCUUCUUUAAACACUUGGCAUACUUCGGGAUUUGCUUUAUGGCAUCAAGGAGGGGAAUGUUGACAUGCACCUUUCUAAACGUCUCUAGAACAUCUUUUUCCUCCUCUUCGUUCUUGGAUUGCAAAAAUCUGCUAGGAAAGGGGACAUUCGAAGGAAAAACAUUAGUAGGAAUUGAAUUUAACACAUUUUUACCCUUAUUGGACAGAUUUGAAGGUUUAGGGGCCAUGGACACUUGCGGCAAAGGUACUUCCACCUUUGCCGUGGGUUGAUUUGAUUCCUCCUCUUCCAUUUGCAACAUUUCAUCCUCUUUGUGACCUGUUUUUGAUCAAGAACCUGCUCCAACCUCCUUACCACUUCUUAGGGUGAUUGCUUUGGCUGAUUCAAACCCUCCUUUUGGAUUUGGAAUGGUAGAACUAGGAAGCCUUUCUUGGUCUCUAAUCUGCCCAACAACUUCGGCAAUCUGCCCCAUUUGUUUUGAUUUUCUUGCCCCUGAGUCAAAGUGGUUAGUAACUUAACAAGUGUAUCAUUAUCCAAAGCAUUACCUGAAGUAUUUGGGGCAGAUUGUGGUUGGAUUUGAGGGGGUGCGUAUGGUUUGGUGUAGAAGCCCGGGGGUUGUUGCCUAAAGUCUCCUUGUGGUUGGGAUUGUUGUGGCUCUCUCCAUUUGAAGUUUGGAUGGUCUUUCCACCCCGGAUUAUACGUGUUGGAGUAUGGAUCAUGUCUUGGCUGAUUUUGGCUUUGAAACCCAAUUGCAUUAGCGCUCUCCCAUCCACCAUUCUCGAUGAGUUGAGGACACUUUUCGGAAGCAUGUCCUUGGAUAGAACAUACACCACACACCAUGGGUCCUUGAAUCUUCAUUCCCUCGGCCAUCUGUGAAACAAUAGAAGUAAGAUUAGCUAACUGAGAUUGAAUAUUGGAUGUGGAACUUACCUCAUGAACUUGUUGCCGUGGGGGUCCUCUUUGGCCUACGCCCUCGUAUUGUUGAGCGUUCAACGCUCAAAUUAACCCUCUUUUUAUCAAUUGUAGCAAAGUAUGUAAGUAGGGAUCGUUCUAAACCGGGAUUAGGAGGGAUUGCAAAAUCACUUGAAAACUGACUCGAAUACGUAAAAACAAGUUUAAAACACUAAACUAGACUCAAAGAAUGCAAAACUAAACUUUAAAACACCAAAACAAACCAAAAGACUCAAAACAGCAAACAAACACUCAAAACUGCCUUAAAACACUUGCUAGGCAGUUUCUGACACUCAGGAAGAAUUUGGACGAAAAUUGAUUAUAACUUGACUCAAGACACUUAAAAACACAAACUAAAUUGAUUUCUAACUAGUAUGACUCAACAAAGAAAAGGGGGAUUGAUUUUGGACGAAUUUAAAAACAAAACAAAACUUUGUAAACUAAAACAGAUUUUAAAACGAAUUUGGAUGAUUUGAAUGGAUGGAAGGCUAGCUAAGGGGUUCAUCUCCACACAUGUCACACUUGAUCUCUAAUUGCUUUUCAAUAAACCAUGAAUUCCCAACGCCCCAAGUUAAUUAGGUCCGCUUAAAUUAACCUUCAGAUUUUCCUAAUGUUAUUGAAUUGGAUGAUUGCAUACGACAACCCAAAGCAUUCCCCACAAGUCCCCUACAUGAUUGCAUAAUAGAGAUACAAGCAAGAAUCAUUAAGUUCUAUGAAAACCAUAAGCAUUGACGAAGCACUUGUUACUAUGAUUGCAUGAAACUUAUGCCAAGAAUUUACUUAACACGAUUGUGAUCAACAACCUUUACUACUUGUGAAUAUAAGUUCAUAACGAUUAGGUGAAAUUCCCUUAUAUCCUAGCAUCAAAUUCAUGCAUGCAAACUAAGUGUCGACCCUCAAUCAACAUACAAGAAUAAGUCUUAAUUCACAUAGAUAAGCAAAUUGAAAUCACAACUUAUGAAACGCAAUUAGAAGUAAUCAAAUCAUAUAGCAAGCAUAAUCAUGGCUUCGAAUCCCCCCCUAGCCAAGGGGGUUUAGUUCCUCAUACUUGCAAAUAAACAAAGAUAAAUAAAUUUAAACAUUAAAACAAAGAUAGAAAACACCUAGAAACGCUCCACAAUCCAAGCUCCUUGAAUGGCAUGCACGGCCCCAAGAGUUCUUCCUUCUUCUCCUUUGCAAACUCACGGCACAAGAGGUAUAUUUGGGUGAAUGGUGUAGUGAAAAUAUGGUAGAGGAUGGUGACUAAAUGGUGCAGCAAAGGAUGAUAUUUAUAGGCUGAAAUUCGCAGCCCCUAUGUAGCAAAGGAAAAGGAUUUAAAAGCCUAAUUUGUAUAGGAUAAUAACACACAAUCCUUGAAGGAAAAGGCUAAGGGUUUUAGAAACCAAGGGGGAAAGGAAUAAUCAGGUUUCUAGAAGUUCUAGAAAGGUUUGGGGCGUCACUUUUGUAGGACAAGGGAUAAGGCCUUCUAGAAAGGUUGUUUUGUGGCUGAUUUCUAGAAAAAACAAGGGAUAAGGUGUGGCACCUUUGUAGGAGUGGAUAAGGGCUUCUAGAAACCAAUUUUAAUGUGUCCUAAUCUGAAAAUAAAUCCCCCAUGCAGCUGGAAUUAAAUUAGGAUAGGAUUAGGAUAGGAUAAGAUAAGAUAGGAUUGGAUAGGAUAGGGUUUGGAUAAUGUUUUGGAUAAGGUUUCUUCACUUGAGCUGAUUCUUUGGCUUCAACUUCCCUUCUUCAAGUAGGAAACCUUGUUUGAGUAGGAAACUUCAAUCUUCUAGGAAUCCAACUUCAACUAGGAAUCCAUCUUCAACUAGGAUUUCAUCUUCAAUUAAGCACUUUCCCACUUCAAUUAGGAAUCUUUGUAUCUUCAAUUCUUCAACUUCAAAACACAUUCCUAGCUUCAUCAAUCCUUCAAAUUCGUCCAUCCCUUGUGCUUCAUGUGCAUGAACUCCAUUCUAGCCCAAUUUUGCUCCAAAAUGCUCCAAAUUGCAUCCUUUUGCUCACUUUGUCUCUAAAACCUGAAAACACAUGAAAAUAGCUUAAAAGACUAAUUUACUAAGAAAACACAACAUAAAUGCAUAAGAACUAGCUAACUAAGGUGCAUAAAUAUGCUCCUAUCAAAUUCCCCCACACUUUUUGCUAGUCCUCGAGCAAAACAACGAAACAAAACAUGACCUAAACCUUCCAACAAUCGCCUCAGGGAUUUCCAAUGGUACAUGACACGCCAAAGAUCACUACUCACAUAGAUUUUAGCCAUCUUUACACUUAAGCACAUACUGAAUCAUAGUCAUCACUUACUAGCUCACAGUUAAUCAAUUAAAACAAUGUUUGAAUGUAGUAACAUGCCUUAGAGAAUCCCUCAAUUCCUCACUAGAUAUACACUCAUUUUUCACUUUAGAUUUUCUGACUACACACUCUACACUAGUUAUAUGUGAGAAGAUUGAUGUAAAUAUGAAAACUAAUGCUCACAUAUGUUAUGACAAUAAAAGCAAUUUCUGGAAUUAUGAAUGUAUGUAUAUGAUCUCAUGAAUGGAAUGCUACUACUUAGAUGCGAGAACCAGGGAUAUCAUAUGCUCAUACCAAUUCCAAACUCCACAUAUUGAAACACAUAACAAUCAAGAUAGAAGCAAAGGGUUGUAACGGGGCUAAGGUAUUGGCUAACAAAGGAAGGUAAGGAUAAACAAACAUUCUUAAAGAAUAAUAAGCAAAGUAAUGAAAUUUACACUUAGAAUUCACUUUUGCAUGCAAAAAUCAAUGUUUAAACCCAAGGGGAAUACUCAUGCAAUACUUAGGGUCUAAUUCAACUUUUUGGACCCUUGCUUCAACAACCAAUAACUUAGAGCUCAUUUUAUGCUCUUUCAACUCCUUUUCAUACUUUUCUCACUUUUCUCUUUUUUUCUUUCUUUUUCUACGAAUUUUCUUUCUUUUUUUUUUCUUUUUCUUUUGCUAACCCGUGCCCUCCUUACUUCUUUUGGCACACAACUUUCCUUUCCCCCACACUUAGUUUUCUGCACAACAUUGAUCAAAAAGAAUUCCCUCUAAGUUAUGCUUUAUUAUCCCUUAAGAACAAGGGUAUGGAUAGUCCUAAUCUAGGCUAGGUAAGGAUAAUGUGGCUAACAACAAAAAUAGGCUAAACAAGGCUCAAAGGGGUUAAUCCUAUAAAACAAUAUGCAUGGGUUGACGGCUUUUUGGCUCUGGUGAUAACUACUAAACAACUUCAUCUUGUUAGUUAUGCUAAUCAAUUUUUAUGCUUUGAAUGAAAUAGGUAUGAGUUCUAAUAUUUGGAUCUAUAAUGAUGACACGCCUUCUAAGUAGCAACCAAGCAAAGAAUGAUGAGAUCAUGCAACGACUUUAGAAAACAACAAAUUCACAGAUUAUUAACUCUCCAAAUAAACGUUUAGGCUCAAGUCUCACAGGGUUGUAGCAUUAGUUUGAGUUCCUUCCUUCAAGCAUGUUACAAAAACUGAUUUUUUUCCUUUUUGAUUACAUGUGAAUUCAUAAGUUAUAACCACAACCAAGCAUAAACCAAAGAGUAAAUCAAACGUCCAUCCAUGUUUAUAACUCUCUUUAACAGUCAUGCAAUUAAAAACCGAAUCCUCAUCAUUGUGUUGGAAGGUACUCUACGACACAAACAAACAAAAACAACUUUAAAACGACUCUUUUUUUUUUUGGGUUUUGUGCAAAACUUUUUCUAUUUUUUUCUUGAAUUUUCGGAUUUUCUGGUAAAACCACAUCAAAACACAUCAAAACUUUCUAAAAAACACUUAAAAACAACCUUUGAAAUGUUAGGUGGUAAAACCCUACGAAUUUUGACAUAAAAACACUUUGUUUACCCCCCCACACUUAAACCAAACAUUGUCCUCAAUGUUUCAAACAUAGACUCACACAAAAGCACGCAAAUAACACAACUAGCAAACAUGACAAAUAUGGCAAAGUAAACGCAAUAAAGAGUAGGGUUUAGAAACGCAAAUCUGGUUGUGAUGCCGGAGCUUCUGAUAGGAGCAUAUUUAUGCGCCUUAGUUAGCUAGUUCUUAUGCAUUUUCGCUAUGUUUUCUUCGUUAGAGUAGUCUUUUGAGCUACUUUCAUGUGUUUUCAGGUUCAAAGGGGCAUAAUACAUAAAAGAUGGCAAAAUGGAGCAUGUUAGAGCAAAAGUGAGCUUGGAUUGAAAAGUACAUGCUUGGAGCACAAGGAAUGGACGAGUUUGAAGGUCAAGGGAGCUUAAGAAAUGAAGAAAUGAAAGUGAAGAACAAAGAAUUCAGAAUUAGAAACCAAAGUUUCUAAAGUUGGAAGUUUCUAUUCUCGGAGGUUUCCAUUUGUGAGAGUUUCUAUUCUUGGCUUUGGGCUUCUAGAUGACCCAUCCUUACCUCUUGGACAAGGCCGCACCUUCCUAGCCCAAUUCAUCUUGGAUCCUCACUUAAUGCCGCACCUAAACCCUAGCCCAUUGCAUAUUUCUGACUUCUAAGCCUUUGCCGCACCUAGGCCCCAAAAUAUCUGAUUUCCUUGCCUUGCAAGGCUUUCUAGAAGGCCUAUCCACACUCCCACCAAAUCUGCCGCACCCUAGCCCUUUUCCCAUGCAAUUCCUAUUGUGUUAACCUAAUUUCUGGUGGAUUUGGGUUUCUAGAAACCCUAAUCUGAUUGCUAGGGUUUUUAAGUGCCUAUAUAUAUUCAUUCUAACCCUUUUGGCCGAACUACCACUCCCCAUCUAAUUCAUUCACGCCAAAAACCCUAGUUACAUCCUUGCCGCAGCCUUUCACCCUAAAACUUCCAUAUUUCUGAUUUCUACACCAUUGCCGUGCCUCCCUAAUCCUUUUAACCCCUUCUACCCUCUUCCAUAACCAUCCAUCCACCACCUUGCGCAGCCACCAAAGGAGGAGAAAGAAGGAGUGUCGUGCAGUCCAAAGGAGGAAGACACCUUGCACAUGCAAUCUGCCAUUAGUGGAGUGUUUGGAGUUCUUUCUUUCUUUGUUUCUGUUUUCAUGUUUAAUUUAAAUUGUUGUUCAAUUAUGUUAGACAUGUGGAACUAAUUUCUUUAUAGUUAGAGGUGAAUUUGAAGCCAUGGACAUAUGUUUUAUAUGAUUUGAUUUCUUCCAAUUAUGAUUUCAGAAAUUGUGAAUGUGAUUUACUGAUGUGAAAAUUAAGUUGACACACAAAUUAAACCCUCUUUUUGUCAAAUUGUAGCAAAGAUGUAAGUAGGGAUCGUUCUAGACCGGGGAUUAGGAGGGAUUGCUAAACGCUUGGAAACUGACUUAAACACUCAAAAACAAAGUUAAAAACACUAAACUAGACUCAAAGAAUGCAAAACUAAAAGUUAAAACACUUAAACAAACCUAAAAACCAAAACAGCAACUAGAAGGCUCAAAACUGCCUAAAAACCACUUUCUGGGCAGUUUUGAGCACCUACACUAAUUUGGACGAAAUUUGAUGAAAACUUGAAUCAAAAUACUUAGAAACACAAAUCAAAACACUUUCUAACUAAUCUAAGACUUCAAAUUAAAGGGGGAUUUUGUUUUGACGAAAAUUAAACUAAAGAAAACAGAUUGGAAAUAGGGCAGAUUGUAAAAACGAUUUUGGUGAAAUAGAUGGUUAAAAGGCUAGUUAGGAGGUUCUUCUCCACACAUGUCACACUUGCAAACAAAACGAUUUUUCAGUUGUUCUUCCGAUAAACUACGAAUACUCAACGCCCCAAGUUAACCGUGAAUUGCACUAAUUAACCCUCAGUUUUUCCACAAGUUAUUAAGUUGGAUGAUUGCAUACGACAACCAAAACAUUCCUACAAGUUCCCUACAUGAAUUGCAUAAUAGAGAUACAAGCAAGAAUCAUUACGUUCUUAUGAAAAACAUAAGCAUUGACGAAGCAUUUGUUACUAUGAAUUGCAUGAAACUUAUGCUAAGAAUUCAUUCAACGCGAUCGUUUUCAAGCGAUCUUCACUACUUGUGAUUAUAAGAUUGUAACUAUUAGGUGAAACUCCCUCAUAAUCUAGCAUCAUAUUCAUGCAUGAAAACUAAGCGUGCACUCUCAAUCAACAUACACAAAUAAGUUAUCAAUCAAAUAGAUGAACGAAUUGAAUCCAUAACUUAUGAAAUAACAACUGAAUGUAAUCGAAUCAAAUUGCAAGCAUGUACAUGGUUUCGAAUCACCCCCCAACUAAGGGGGUUUAGUUCCUCAUACUCACAACACAAAGUUUAUUGAAUUGAAACAUCGAAGACAUAAGAAAGAUUACACCUAAAAUGCCAAAGAAUUCCACUUUGAAUUCUGCACAGCAAGCUCCUCUUUCUUCUUCUCCUUGCUGCGGCAGAGAGGGUUUAGGGGAUUUUUGGGUAGUUUUGGAUGAUUUUGGACGAGGGAGAAUGGUGGAAAAAUGUCUAGGAUGGGUGUAGGGCACGGCUAGGAAGGUUUGGGGUCAGAAAAUAUGGAGUUGGGUGAAGGUUGGGCUCGGCAAAGGUGAGGGACAGGUUCUGGCGUGAAUGGAGUUUUUCUGGAUGUGUUUUUGGGUUUUGAAAGGUAGAUAGGAUAGUAUGGUGGGUGCGGCAAGGUGUGGGAAUGGUUUAUGGAGGUGGAGAAUGGUGUAUGGAUGUGUGGAAAUGGUGCUGGAAUGGAUGGAAGCUGCGGCAAAAGGUGGGAAAGGUUGCUGGAAUGGGUGGUGGCUGCGGCAAGGAGAGGAUUAGGGUGAUGGUGAUUUUCUGAUUUGUGUAGAGGGAAUGAUGAUGUGCGGCUAGGGUUUAGAAAUAUAUAUAUAUAGGCAUUUAAAAAACCCUAGCAAAUCAGAUUAGGGCCUCUAAAACACAAUCCAUCAGAAAUUAGGUUGAAACAAUUAGACAUUUAGUGGGAAAAAGGGCCUAGGGUGCGGCUGGUAUGUGGGCUAAGGUUAGGGUUUCUAGAAACCCUAACAAGGCAAGGCAAAGUGAUUCUAGAGGGCCCAGGUGCGGCAUAGGAUGAAGGUCCAUAAGGAAUUUGGGUUUAGGUCAUCUAAAAGCCCAAAGCCAAGAAUAGAAACUCACGAAAAUGGAAACCUCCAAGAAUAGAAACUUCCAACUUUUAGAAACUUUGGUUGCCAAAUUCCGGUUUAGGAAAGAUCAACCCAAAAUGGAAACUUUUAGGCUUAGCUUUCCUACAUCAAGUAGGAAACCUCAAAUCUUCAACUCUUCAAUUCCAUCCCAACCUUGUGUUCCAAGCAUGUACUUUUCAAUCCAAGCUCACUUUCUUGCUCCAAAAGCUCCAACUUGCAUCAUUUCAUGUAAUACGUCCUUUAACCUGAAAACACAUGAAAGUAGCUUAAAAGACUACUUUAACGAAGAAAACAUAACAAAAAUGCAUAAGAACUAGUUAACUAAGGCGCAUAAAUAUGCUCCUAUCAUUUACUUAUCUAUUUGAUUGAUAACUUGUUUAUGUAUGUGGGUUGAGGGUCGACACUUAAUUUGCAUGCCUAAACUUGAUGCUAGGAUAUAAGGGAAUUUCACCUAAUCGUUAUUAACUUGUAUUCAUAAGUAGUGAAAGUCGCCAGUCACGAUUGUGUUAAGUAAAUCCUAGGCAAGAGUAACAUGCGUAUCCCAUAGUUAUGAAUGCCUCGUCAAUGCUUAUGAUUUCCAUUAAACUUAAUGAUCUUUGAUACGUGUCUCUAUCAUGCGUAUUCCAUAGUUAGGGUCCUUGAUAAGAAUAAUUUGGUUGUAAUGCGUAUUCCAUUCAAUUCAAUGAAUCUAGGGAAAUCUGAGAAUUAAUUGGGUGCAAUCUAGUUAAUUUGGGGCAUUGUCAUUCAUGGUUUGUUGAAAGAGUAAUUGGAGAUCGAGUUGUAUGCAUAUGUUCAUGUGUGGAUAAGGAACCCUCUAACUAGCUUCUCACCAUUCUACUUAAUCACAAUCUGUUUUGCUUUACAUUUGUUUUUAAAGUUUGAGUUUUAAAGUUUUAAUUUCGUCAAAGUCAUUCCCCCAUUUAUUUUAAAGUGUUAGAUUAGUUAGAAAUCCAUUUAGUUGUGUUUUUAAGUGUUUUGAGUCAAGUCAUAGUCCAAAUUCGUCCAAACUAGUGUUAGGUACUCAAAACUGCCCAGAAAGUGGUUUUAAGGCAGUUUUGAGCCUUUUAGUUGCUGUUUUGGGUUUUUAGUUUGUUUAGGUGUUUUAAACCCUAGUUUUGCAUUAAUUGAGUCUAGUUUAGUGUUCUACAUUAUAUUUUUAUGUUCUUGAGUCAGUUUUACAUUGAUUAGCAUCCCUAGUUAAUCCCCGGUUAGAACGAUCCCUAUUUGCUCAUAUACUACAAUUGUCAUCCAUAGGGUUUAAUUUGUGUGUCAAGUUAAUUUUCACAUCAGCUUCCUAGGUCUUCUUUAUUCGCAUGGGUUGCCUCCCACGAAGCGCUUGCUUUAACGUCUUCCAGCCGGACGAUACUUCCAUUCAAACUCCCCUAGGUCCCACGGCAUGGAAUUGAUCUUUAAAUGGGAGAUGAUACUUGAAAUGAUCCGGCACAGGUUUAAAUUCAAGAGUGGGUGCCUGAAUCAUUAACAACAUAUUAGUAUAAACCAAAAUUGAAAUUCGGGGAAGUGGCUUACCUGUGUGCUCCGACAUGAACUCAAUGACAAAUACCACUUCUUUGAAAGUUUUAGGGACUUUGAAUUUGGCUAGAUUUACUACCAUGGUUGUGAUUUGUCCCGUGUCAUCAAAUUCAACGUCUUUAGGCGUCGUUGUCUCAAAUACGUCCUCUUUGAUGAAUUCUUGAUAUUCUCGAGCCCCUACUUUCUCUUGAAUCAUUCUUCUUGGUGUACAAAGUCCCUUGAACAAUUCAACACAUCUAGAACUUGCUUUGUUGCACCAAGAAUUGGAAAAUCAUUUUGCACCUUUGGAAGAGCUUCCAUAAUUUCUUUUUCCCUCUCUUCUUGCUUGGGAAUCAAAAACCUGCGAGGAAAAGGGACAUUGGGUGGAAUGGGGUUAGAAUUAAUUGAAUUUGGAACCACCUUACCUGAGUUGGAUGGCAUAGGGACUCUAGGAGGCUGCGGCCAUGGUUGUUCUACCCUUGCCGUGGGUGUGUCUUCUUCCUCCUCCUCAAUUAGCAGCUGUUCGUCCUCCUCUUGGCUUGAUUUGCACGUUUUUGGACUUGUUCCAACCUCCAUGCUACUUUCCAAAAUGAUAGCAUCAUGGAUUUCAAAAUCUUCCUUCAAAUUUUCAAUAGUUGAGUUGGAGGGUUCACUUUGCUCUUGAAUUUGUGCCAUGAACUCCAUAAUCUCUCCAAUUUGAUUCUUCAAUUUACCCAACUUCUUGUCUUGAUUUUGUUGGUCCUGCGCCAAAGAGGUUAGUAAUUGAAGAAUUUGAUCACUAUCCAUGGACAUACUUGAAUUUGAUUGGAAUUGUUGUGGAGAAUGUUGUGGUGGCUGCAUAGGUCUUGAAUAGAACUCCUCAUAUGGAUGCCAAUAUGCUUCGUGUUGAACUUGUUGAGCUUCCCACCACAUAGAGUUUGAAUGAUCACUCCAAUUCGAAUUGUAAGUGUUGGGAAACAUGUUGUUGCUCGGUUGAUCAUAGCCUUGAUAACCCCAAGCAUCUCCGUUUGCAGUGAAUUGAGGACGUUGAUGAGUUGGAUAUCCGUGCCCAUAGGACACACCACAUGUAGGGACACUUUUCAUUGUGGUCCUUUCGAUAUAUUGCGUUAACUGAGAAGUAAGAUUCGUUAUUUGAACUUGAAGAUUAGCAAUUGCCAUGUCUUACUUCUCUAGUACCUAAAAUCAAAGAAAGAAAACUAAAUCAAAUAUCAAAAGUAAAAGACACGAACAAAAACAAAGGGGGAUUAGCAAUUUUGCUAAUCCCCGGCAACGGCGCCAAAAUUUGAUGUGAAAAUUAUGUUGACACUCAAAUUAACCCUCUUUUUAUCAAUUGUAGCAAAGUAUGUAAGUAGGGAUCGUUCUAAACCGGGGAUUAGGAGGGAUUGCAAAAUCACUUGAAAACUGACUCGAAUACGUAAAAACAAGUUUAAAACACUAAACUAGACUCAAAGAAUGCAAAACUAAACUUUAAAACACCAAAACAAACCAAAAGACUCAAAACAGCAAACAAACACUCAAAACUGCCUUAAAACACUUUCUAGGCAGUUUCUGACACUCAGGAAGAAUUUGGACGAAAAUUGAUUAUAACUUGACUCAAGACACUUAAAAACACAAACUAAAUUGAUUUCUAACUAGUAUGACUCAACAAAGAAAAGGGGGAUUGAUUUUGGACGAAUUUAAAAACAAAACAAAACUUUGUAAACUAAAACAGAUUUUAAAACGAAUUUGGAUGAUUUGAAUGGAUGGAAGGCUAGCUAAGGGGUUCAUCUCCACACAUGUCACACUUGCAUAUAAAACGAUCUCUAAUUGCUUUUCAAUAAACCAUGAAUUCCCAACGCCCCAAGUUAAUUAGGUCCGCUUAAAUUAACCUUCAGAUUUUCUUAAUGUUAUUGAAUUGGAUGAUUGCAUACGACAACCC